rnacentral:lncRNA from 1 species
AGAGAGAGAGAGAGAGGUAAUACUGUAAAGCUUCUAUGAUUGAAUGAAUGCCAGAUGGAGAGGUAGAAGAGAUCACAAUAUGCAACACGAGCGGAAAAUAAAAUUAAUAGAUUGUAUUGGAUGGUAUGAUUAAUUAAAUACAACCCAAAGUACUGAACCAAAUGUACAAUCCUAAAACUAUUUAUUGGGCAUGGUUUCCAUACCCACAAAGCAAAAUGAAAGUAUAAUUGUGUAAAGGAACCUACAGAAAGCCAGAGAGGUGAUUUACACUUGGCACCAAGAAUAAAUUGGUAGAGAGGGAGAGGUUAACCUGAAAGUGUGAAAGAGAAUAGGUUAUAGAGAGAGAAAGAGAGGAGGUUUCCAUUCUAGAGAGAGAAAGAACCCAAAUGGUGCUAUUAUUUCUCUCAGCUUUGGUUGUGGGUCUCGUUAUAUGCCUUAGCAGUGCCAAAAGACCCCAUUUGUUGAGGGUACGAUGCCCUCAUAAGAGGACGCAUUCGAACUCCUGCAAAAUUCCUUGUAGUGAGAGGAGGGCAGCCCGAGCCUGUUCUCCCGCCCACAUUGGUGCAACCCGAUGGCCCGGAGGGAGCCACUGGCCCUCUCUUCAUAUCUUUGAACACCAUCAAUUCUUUCUCUCUCUUCUCCCACGCAUCACCAUUCAGUACUCUUGAUCCUUGCACACUUUGCAAACACAGCGCAAUAACUAACACAACCAAACCCAGGACUCUCAUCAUCUUUUUCGAAAACCCCAUCUCUCUAUAAUGCAAACUUUUGUGUUUCUCUCUCUGCUUUUGGCUAGCUUUUGUUUGGGUGAGUGUGGAGACAGAUUUGAGGAGAGAGAAUGGGCUGAAAUUUUUUGUUUCUCUUUUGCUUGAGUGGAGAUGGAUUUGAGGAGGGAGAGAGAGAGAGAAAGGAUGAAGGUGAAGGAGAGCUGUGGAAUGAGUUUGUGAAGGUAGAUACCCCUUUAUUUAUAGACCGCUCUUCACGUCAAUUGUCACUUUUCAACGUUAGGGUUACGGAACCUUAUGUUCUAUGGUUUUUUUAACAUUUUAUUUUUUUUAUUGGUCUUAUUCAAUACCUUUAAUUUCAUUUAAAAAUUGAAUUUUUUAGUGGGUUUAUUUUAGUUUUUAUUGUCUAGGCUACUCUAAAAGAAAACAGUUAUUUUUAGGCAUAGAAUAAAAUUAUCAAGUUGUUGAAUAAAAUUGUCUGUAAUAAAUUGGCUUAAUGCCAUUGACUACAUAAGCAACAGUGUUUUACCGAACUGGGUCUACUAAGCGAAACUUUGACUGAAAGAUACGCGGGGUAGAGACUGGACCCGAAUUUUCAGUUGCUUGAAUGGGCAACUCAUAUAUAUGCCACCUUGAUUCCCUGGUAUUUCGAAAACACCCCCUUUUGACUUUAAGAUAUGGCCGUCGUAUUAUGUCUCUCUUUGUACUCGAAUAUCUCCGGGAUCUACAUUAUGUCUUUUGUUUAUUAGACAUAUUUCUCCGGGAUCUACAUUAUCUCUCUCUGUUUUUUUUUUUAUGGGAAAAGUUUAUAUAGUGUCGAGCCUCUAAACAAUUAAAUUCGAGCCUACAUCAAAAAAUUUGAUUGUUUCGAUGUUAUCUUCAAAUUCAAAUACAUUAUCUCUCUCUAUUUUUUUUCAUGGAAAAAGUUUAUAUAGUGCCGAGCCUCUACACAAUUAAAUUCUAGCCUACCUCAAAAAUUUGAUUGUUUUGAUGUUUAAAUAUCUUCAAAUUCAUCAUCUCGACAUCAAGAUGCACGGAUAUGAAAAAAAAAUGGACUUCAAGUUUUGAAAAUAGUGUAUUUUGUAACGCACUUUUGGACCGUCAAUUUUCAAGAUUUUCAAGUUUUCAUAAAUCUCUCGAUAUACACUAUCUUUUAAGCUUUAAACUUUAUAAAUGAAUAUGGACAUAUAUUUUAAGGCUAUCAAAAAGAUAUCAGUUUCGAAACCAUAUUUCUUGAAACUAUUUGAAGGUAGGCUCUAAUUUGAUUGUUUAGAGCCUUGGCUCUAUACAAACCGCACCCUUUUUUUAUUAGAAAAUUGUUAUAGGGGACGCAUUUCUACAUUUGUAUCCCCCGAUUUAUAAAGCUUCAAUCUUAAAGGUGAUGCAAAUCGGUGGUCCGUCUAAAUGUUUUCUUCAUAAUUUUUUUAAAUUAUUAUUUAAUUUUAUUUUUUUUCAUAUUCAUGAUCUCCACAUUGAAAAUUAUAUGUCUUUAAAAUUUGGGUAAAAAACUUUAUCUCAAAAAUAGAUUUUUAAGAAAGGACUCAUUUUUAUAUGGAUUUAUUUUGUUAUUAAAAUAAUUUUGUAAUUAGGCCUGGCAACAGGCCAGGCCCAGAACGUCCCUAUUCCCCAUAGAGGCGUCCAAGUCCAGGUGCGGCCCUAGGCCUAUCCGGGCUGGGCCGGGCCAGGCCAGUCCUAUCAUGGCCCAAGCCCAAGCUUCGUGACCUGACCUAGCCCUCGAGCCGCACUGCCAUAGUUUGUGGCUCAAGCCCUAGUUUUUUAGGAUCGUGCCGACCAAGCUAGACUGGGUUGCCUGGCUCAUUGCUACUCCUUAGUUGCAGUUUGUAAGAGGCGACAAUUUUAUACAAUCAAAGUAAGGCGUUUAUCAAAAGGUGCAAUUUUGGCACUCUAUUAUGGUCUAAAAAUCUACUCGCACCCUGAAUUAUAAAAUUUGAAAAUCCAAAAAUAGGUGACAUUGAGUAUAUCUAUAAACAUUUGAAAAUCUUAAAUGAUCAAUUAAAUGGUUUUCUAGCUCCAUAAAAACCUUUUUUGUUGAAUUUUUUAGGUGAAUCUUACUUUUAUAUUAUAAGAUUGAUGCCUUGUAUAAAGUUAUUUCUUUAAAACAAAGUAAGGUGCACCUCUAAAUUUUACUGGAAGAUGUAGUUCCAGUUCUACAAAACCUUUCGCUAGCUUGAAAGUCCACGUUGAACCAUAAUUGUGAAAUUUAAAAUUCUAAAACUGAUGUAGAUUGAGCAUAUCUAUAACUACUGAAAAAUCUUGAAAUAGACGAUUUUGAUAAUUUGUUACAAUAUAUACUAUUUUUAGGCUUCCAACUUUAGUAACACUCUUUUCUACUUAAUUCUUUAGGUGUACCUUACUUGUAUAGUGUAAGGUUGUAACUUUAUAUAAUUUUUUUCACAUGCACACAUAGAUACAGUCUGAAUUUUUAUUUUUAUUUUUAUAUACAUCGAAUUGAGCUCAAAUUUUAGUUUCUAUGCUUUUUACCAUCAUGCACCUAUAAAAAUAAAAAAACUACUCUUACAAGUUUGAUAGGUAUUUUGGCUAUUUCAAUUUUUUUUUUGGAACUAUAAGACAACUUCAUUUCUUCUAAAGUAUUUUUGUGUUUUUCACAUAUGAAUGAUCUUGAGAAGUAUAGAUACCCUAAAUUUGAACGUAAUAUAUUGUAUAGAAAAAUAAAAUUUAAAUAUAAUAUGUGAUCUUGUACAAUAGGACUUCAGCAUAAAACAUAAAAUGUAAAAAACUAUUUUUUAAGGGUGUGGCUAGCAGAAGGUUCCAACAUUAGACAAACAAAGUAAGGUGCACCUCUAAAUUUUAUUAUAAGAGGUAAUUUUUAAGUAAACGGUUUUUAGAAUAGCUUGAGAGUCUAUUUUUAUCUCUUAUCAUAAACUUUUAAACUCAAAAAAUGGCUCAAAUUAAGUAGAAAUAGAAACACAUGAAAAUCUUGAAAAUGGACGGUCCAAAGAAUAUGUUGCAAGAUGCACUAUUUUUGGGAUUCAAAAUAUUUUUUUUUUUUUAUUUCCAUUUAUCUCGAUGUCAUGCUGAUCAAUUGGAGGAUCUUCUAACAUCAAAAAAAAAAAAAAAUCUUUUUUUUUAAUGGAUUUUUGAGGUGCAACUUAAUUUUAUAUUUUAAAAUUGCAACCUUAUAUAAACUUUUUCCAUUUUUAUAUUGAAAUACUAAAUUCCACCUUAUAUUUCCCUUCUUUGUAAAAUGACAACCACACGAACACUGUUAGUUAAUUCGGGGCCCGCUUCCUCGAUGUUCUACUAAAAAGGAGAACGAAAUAAGAUGGCAUGUGGGUUGUUAGCUUUCUAGUUAUAUAUUAGACACCCCCCUCAAUGGGCGCAUGUUAAAAUUGAAUAUAAUCAAGGAAAAUGGUUUGAUAGGGCUGAAGCCCUAUCAAAAUAAGUAAAGUCUCACUUUGUAACUUAUCAAAAAUUGCAAUUCAAAUAUUGAAACACCUUUAUGUCGAUUAAUUACCCAAAAAAAACACCUUUACAUCGAUUAUCUCGGCUUGAACAUUAUGGUGUGAAAAAAUUAACAUUUCAAGCUCUAAAAAUAGUAUAUAUGGUAGUGAAUUAUCUAGCCAUCUAUUUCACCCUUAAAAUAAGUGUUCAAAGAUCCGCAAGAUCCAUACCAUUUGUUGAGUUUCAAAAUUUAUUGUCGGUGUUGAAAAUUGAUUUUAAAGCCAUCAAUCAGAUUUUCAUUAUCAAAAAUGCUUUCCAAACAAAAAUUGGAGGUGAGGUUUUAUUUUGUUUUCUUAAAGCCUAAUCUUUAUAGAAACUACAUCCCAUAAUCCCAUAUGCUAAUUUUUCAUGAUUACCUCCUUUUCUUAGUGGGAACAAGGUAUAAAGUAAACAAAGGCUGCUCUCGUAAACAUCCACGUUCUGCCGUUUUAUGAUGUCCAAAUGUACAUCGUAUUCACAAAAGAGAGGAAAAUUUCCAAAGUAGAAACAAAAUUAAAAGUGGAACAAGGGUACCAUGAAAUGUAGCAAAUACUGCUCCUGUAAACACCGACAUCCUGGCUCUUGGGCAUGUCCAAAUAUGCUUCUUUAUCAUAAAAGAGAAUGGAAAAUUUCAAAACGCGGAUAGAAAAUUUUAAAAAAAAUCUCAAACUUUGCAGAGAAUGGUCAAGUUCAUUUUCACAAGCACUAUCUUUAGGAAAAUGGUAACGGACAAAAGCUCCAUGCAUUCUCAAGAUGAGAUAAUUUAAGUGCUUUGAAGGAAUAACAUCUCUGUGCCAAUUUAGGACGAUACUUGUUAGGAAGUGCGAAUUGGUUCAAGUGGAAAUCUUAAAAGAGCAAAGAAUAGGCCCAAAAGGAUAUAGUUGAAAGAAAUGAGAAAAGAUAUGGGGACUAAGAUACCAAAAUUCCUGUAGCAGACCCCAAAUAGCUAGAAAAGACUCUAAUAUUGAAGAUGAUGAAGGGAACAAACUCUCUCUGAAAAUUAUCUUGGAAUCUUUUGAAAAUCCUAGACAACAUCUCUCUUUGAAUGUUAAUUUGGGGUCUUGGUGAGUAGAGGUGGGAAUUGCCCAUGCUUGGGACGGGCAAGCCUUGGUCUUAGCUCAACCCUCAUCCAGAGUAGGCCCAAGCCUGGCCAUGCCUUGACAAGGCCAAAAAGCGAGGCCUCAAUCCAAGCCAAGUCAGGUUCAGAUAGGUUGGACCAAUCACAAUCAAAGUAAACAAAAGGAAAGCAAUGAGAAAAAGGGCAAGCUGAGCCAGCCCUAUUGUGGACCUAUCCCAAGCCUGGGCUAGACAGACCCAAUCCUCAAGCAACAUUUUGUGGUUCAAGCCCUAAUUUUUUAGAGACAAGGCGAGCAAACAACUGCUAGCAUUAGUAGUGAGAUUGAAACUUUAGACGUCAUGUUUUGUUUUUGUUGGGUGAGUGUGGCAAUUAUAGGCCUUAUGAGUACUUGUAAAAUGAAAUGAUAUAGUGAAACAUGAACUUAGUGAAAGUGUGGUCCCUCAUGAACCAUACUAAACAAACGAUAUUUGCUGAUACCGGACCGAGCUUGACGAGCUAAACCAAUUGGAUGAGAAAAACCUAUGUUACAUGGGCAUAGAAAACUAUCUGAUAAGGGUUGUAAUAUGUCAUCCUUUGAUAAGGUCGGAGUAUGCCCGGAUGAGUGAGCUGAUGGACUGUGUGACCCAUUGUGUGUAAUGGUGGCCUUUAGAGACUGGGGCCAAAGCCUCAUCCACAAGCCAUCACACGACAUGCAUAAUGAUAGUUGUUUUGGGUAAGCAAACCACCUUUUAGCGUGAAACAUAUGCAUGUGCGAGAGAUACACUUAUGCGCUAUAUGAGUUGUGGUCGCAUCAGGUCUAGAUGAUCUUGGUACGUUUCUUGUGGAGAACCUGAAAUCCACAAACUAAGAUUACGACUUUUAGAUCAUCGGCUAGAUUUUGGUGACUCACUAAUGAGCCCCUGCAUGGACUGUGGUUAAUGGGAAACACUAGGUCGGUUUGAUAAAGCAAGUGUGGACCGUAGUCCACAGUUGAAAGUGGAGUCCCUCAGCGUUUAUUUAUUUAAUUUCUAUACUAUAUGGAUCAUUUUUCCAACUAAUGAAUUUAAUUAUAUUUGUUUUUAAUGAUAUAUGAUUUUUAAAAUUAUUAUUUGAAUUUUUCUAGAUCUUUGGAUAUUUUAUUUAUCAUAUUUGGAGUUAGAACAACAGAGAUAUUGAUUUUAGAUUGAUUUAAAUAUUCAAAUUUGAUUUUAUGGAUUUCUAAAAAUCAUAUAAUUAAUUUUAAUAUUGCAUGGGAUGCCCAAUAUGUUAAUGAGCCCACCAUUGCAUGUGGGUGGGAUCCAUGAAGUACCACAUAGGGUAGCACACCCUACCCUAAUGAAACUUUCCUUGUGUUAGUUCAAACUUUGACUUGAAGAGAAAGCUUUGAAGUAUUUUGGAAACAUUUUGCUUUGACGAAGCUGUCAAAGGAUUUUUUGGAAAGCAUGAGAAGGCUUGUGCAUAACUUUGAUAAGCAUGAUAUUAUGAAUAGAAUUAUUUAAUUUAAUUUCUAUUGAUGUGAAAAAGUUUUAGGAAUGGGGGGUAAAUAUUUUAGCACCUUCCAUAAUGUUGAUUGCCCAUCUAUAGAAUGAAGGGCUCAAAUCUCUUAUUCCACAUGUCAUCCAAUAUCAAUGGUUCAUAUUCAAUCUCACAAGAAGAUGCAAACCAAUGAAAACCAUAAUCUUGUUUAAAACCUAUAAAAAUAGAUUGUCUCUAGUCAGAAUAUCUACACUUUAUCUUUUUCUCUCUCCCACUCUUAAAAAAAAUUUAUCACUCUCUUGAAAACCCAAAGGGGCAGGCCCCACUCUCUCAUCUUUGAGAUAUCUCUCUCUCUCAUCCACAUUGUAAAAGAACCCAAGGAGGAGUUGUCAUAUCUCUCAUGGUGCCUCUCAUGAUCUCUCAUCUCUCAUUGGGUUUUUUUUUUUUAGACUACAGAGUUGUAGUAGAAAAAAGAAAUAUUUCUUUCAAACUAGUUUGCUAAAGGGAUUCACCUAAGGGUUUGAAAUUUAUGAUAAAAGAGUUCAUAGUUCCAUUAGAGGGUUUGACUUAAACUUGCUUUCCCGGUUGAGAUUGAAGGUUGAUCAUUGAUCACAUGCCAUCAGAUGAUGAUGACUUGGUGUGGGGUGUAAUAAGCCCUGUUGAGAUAAUCUUUGACAUUCUCUUUUUGUUUCUUGUCAUAUUUAAUUAUAUUGUCUGUAUAUUUCCAAGCAUAAUAAUUGUGGAUAUUUUCUUUGUUUAAAUAAAAUUAGCAAGAUUUUUAAGAUCUUAGAUUUGUUAGUUUUAUUUUCUUUGAAGCAAGAGUUAUUGUAAUAAGACUACUUCUAAGUGAUCUUUUGACGAAAGAAAAGAAAAUGGGUGAAAAGAAGAAAAAUAAAAAAAUAUAUCCCCGACAAGAUCACACUCCCACCCCUUUUUUUACUUCUAAGUAAUCUUUUGCCGAAAGAAAAAAAAUGGGUGAAAAGAAAAAAAAUAAAAAAAUAUAUCCCCGACAAGAUCACACUCCCCCCCCCCACCCCCCCUCGCCCCCUAGUUGGUGAGAUUGGCCCAGCCUAGUCGAGUCCCGGUCCUAGCCCAAUUCUUAAGACACAUUUUGUAGCUUAGGCUCUAUUUUUCUAGGGCUGAACACAUAUGAAAACGAUUAUUUUGUUACUCUUUCACAAAAGAAAAAGAGAAAUACAUUUCCACAAAAAAAAAACAAAGAAAGAAGAGAGAAAAAAAAAAGUGAUUUUGCGGACUUCUUUUGGAAAAGAAGUUCUAAAGCUCAAAUAAAGAGACUGUCGGUGAGAUAUUAGAGUGAGAACGUUGCCCUAGCAUACAUGUGAAGGGCACGCCGUUUUCAAAUGAGAGAAAACAAACGGCACACGGACGGUAUAAAAUGAGGAUCCUCUCUCAAUCUAAAGCCUAGUCAUAAACGAAAUAAAAUAACAUUUUUGGCGUGCCAACGCUCGGAACCCGGGUUAGUAAACGAAGGCUUAGAUCACAAGAGGCCGCAUUUUGUAACGCGUGCGUAUCAAGCUUCCUUGGUAUGUAUACGGUUUUGACUUAAAAAUACAUAAACAAAUAGUAUGCGUCCACACUUAUUCCUCAUGGAAGAUUACUCGUUUCCAUGAAAAUCUCCAAAUUUAAUAUUUACAUAUUUUGUCACAUCCAAUCACUUAUUUUAACUUUUUUUUUUUCCUAUUUUUUAUUAUUUGAGGGCAAUUAUAGGGCCAUUGGAUGUAGGAAAAAAAUUAUAUAGAGCGAAAGCUCUAAACAAUCAAAUUAGAGCCCACCUCACAAAUUUUAUUAGAAGAGGUGGUUUUGAUGCCCAAAUACCAUCAAAUUGAUCACCUCGACAUGGACAUGAGAAAAAACUCAAUUUCAAGUUUUUGGAAGUAGUGCAUCUUGUGAUGCAUUUUGGAACCAUCAAUUUUCAAGAUUUUCAAUUUUUCAUAGAUCUACUCGAUCUACACUAUUUUUGAAGCUGUAAACUUUACAAUUAAAUAUGAAAAUUUAUUUUAAAGCUAUCACAAAGAUUUCCAGUAUUGAAACCACAUUUCUCGCCACUAUUUAAAGGUGCACUUUAUUUUGAUUGUUUAGAACCUCGGCUCUAUACAAACCGUGCCCUUGAAUGCAUUGAUAAUUGAUUAUUACAAAAAAAAAUUAACUUGAUCAUAAAUUAUUAGUUUUUUGGUAGUGUCUAUUGCAAUGUGAUUUAACAUGACCUUAUAUGUAGUUUUACAUAUAUAAGUUUAUGUUUUAAAACGCUAUUUUAAUUUUAUUCAAAUUAAUUUGUUAAAAAACAACAUAUUUUUGGCCCUACAUGAAAUUGUCUCUCGUCCAAAGAGGCUUGAGGUGUACACCAAUACACAUCAAUGGUAUGUUCUAUAUAGCAUGGGAAUUUAUAUAAGGGAGAGGUUUCUAUACUUCCCCUACAAUAUAGAAGAUAGAUGCUUCUUCAACCAUCUACCGUCUACUUACCAUUUGAUCUUAGAUCCGACGUCUCAAAGUAUUUUAUUUUUACGAUUUGUAUGAAUAUGAAAUUUGGUACGUGUCAUCUUCUCAUUGGCGCGUACCUAUAAAAAAUAUUAAAAAUAUUUUUUCUAUAAAAUAUAAUGAUCAAAAUACCCCUUAAAACUUUCAAUGGUGUUUUGAUCAUUUUAUUUUAUUGGAAAAAAAUUCUAUAUAUUUUUCGCUAGUGCAAUUUUAAUAAAGGAUUGGACGUCUAAAAUUUGGUGUCAAAACAAUUUAUAAAAAUAUAAUUAAAAAUAAAAUAGUGUAGGGAUAUGACAUUGUGAUUGGGGCAAUCUUAACCCUCCAUUCAGAAUGGAUUCUAAAUGGAUGGUUGAAUAAAGAGAAGUAUAUAAGUUUUAUGUUGUAGGAGAAACAUAGAGAGCUUGCCCUUUAUAUAAUAAGACAAUCACUCUUUCGGAGCGAGGUCGUCACGAUCCUGAUACAAAGUUUACUUUUGUUUUAGACUUUUAGCAUAGUCAAUGGGACACACUUAACUACUUAAUUUCAGACCAAAAUUGAUUUCUAAACUCCUUAUAUUAAAGGUAAACAAUCUCAUUGGCCAUAGUUCCAGUUGCCCUUGUAUCUCCAAUACCGCAUAUCACGCAUUAGUUGUGUAAUGUAGACUUUGCCUUCGUUAAUAACAUAGCAUGCUUAUUGGAUGUGUAAUACUAAUUAGUUUUUUUUUAUAAAGGGUUAGGUUUGUAUAAGGUGUCAACCUUAUGCUAUUGAAAUAAGUUGCACUUCAAAACUAAUGCUGAAAAGCAGUUUUGGUGCCGUAAAGCCUUGCGAUGAUGUAAAAUUUAUUAUUCCCUCCAAUUAUGAAAUUUAAAGUUUUAAAAAUGGUUUAAGCAGAUCUACAAACACUUGAAAAUCUUGAAAAUGGGCAGUCUAAAUAAUGUGUUAGAAGGUAAAUUAUUUUUAGAACUAGAAAUCCCCUUUUCUGAUGUCUAUGAAUUUCGAGGUUGAGAUGAUUGAUUUGAGGGUUUUCUAGCACAAGAACAACUUGCUCUAGUAAGUUUUUUAUGUGCACAUUAUUCAUACAGUAAAAAGUUAACACCUUAUAUGAACUUUUUCCUUUUAUGAACACAUGAGACUAAUUUUGUUCCCUACAUUUUGGUUUUGGGAGUCCACGAAAGUGAGAUUUGCUGAAUUUUAGACUUGGCCAUCACAGAAACCAUGGUAGCGAAAAACAAAAACAGUCUAUGAUACAUAGCUGAUGUAUGAGAAUAUCCUUAGCAAAAGUAUGGGUGACAAUCGGGUUACGUCGGGGUCUAGGUCUAGGUCCACGUGUUGAACCUGGAAAGUUGGGUCUGGCCCCUAUAGAACCUAGUUGGUUUGGGUCUGUGUUGGGUUCGACUCGACCCAUUGCCACCUCUAAGCGAAAGCAUACAACAAAGCCUAUGUCCUCUCCAAAAUUUGAAUCGACAAAAAUUGCCGUUUUAGUUUCAUAAUACAGAACAUGUUAAUAUAGGCAUGCACUUGUGUGAAACCACCCUCCCAAACUCUAUUUUGGAGACGAAUUUUUGGAUUUUGGAUCCAAAAGUUGUAAAUCUAUCAUCUUAACCCCACUAUCAUCUUGAAUAUGAAAAAGUUUGGAAUUACUAAUGUUAUGCUUUUUUCUGAGCGUGCAAUUCAAAGUUUCACUAUGAUCAACUAUUUUGGAGAUCUUGGAUCUAAGGCAAAAAUGGUUGCAUGAUAUGUGAUAUACUUCAGGUACUAAAAGCCGUAUAAACUAGGGUGGGCACAGCAAAAACCUUUUGCUCCAAUCCGUUGUUUUAUGUGGAGACCAUCGAAUUUUUAGAUGGUGAGAUCUAAGUAUUAGAAAAUUCAAAAUUUUAAUUUUUUUUUAAAUAAUCAUUCAGUAAUUUUUGAUUGGUUCCUAAAAUUUUAGAUUAAAAAAAAUCAUCUAGAUCUUCUAACAGAGGGAGUAGAAGUAAAUUAUGCUCCCAAUAUUGUAUAGUACAUAUGUGCUUUACUUUAUAUUCAUCCGAUGAACCGAACCUUGCUAUGGUAGACUUCCAAUUGGGUUGAAGGUUUUAGCCUUAUAUUGGAAAAUCCAGUGUUCGACAACUUGGUCAAGCCAACCCGGCUCACUUGAGUAACUUGGGCUUGCCAAUCCCGAGUUUGGUGGUCAAGCUUGAGGAUAUUAAAAAAAUUCAAAAGUAAUUUAUAAAAAAUCCAAAAAAAUAAUAAAUUUAUUUGUAAGACGAUUUCUCGUUUGUAAUAUGUUUCUUUAUAUUUUCUAUCAUUUUGACAAAGAAUGUAAAGUGUUUUGGCCAUGAAUACUUAUUUCUAUAUUUGCCCAUCUUUUCUCUCUCUCUCCUUCUCUUCCCUUUACCUCUUCUUCUCUUAUUCUCUCUCCUCCCUUUUUUCUCUUUCUCUCUCACUUUCUCUCUCCUCUCUCCACUCACUUUCCUUUUUUUUUCUCUCUCUGCUCCGCUCUCUCCUUUCUUCUUCUUUAUCCUCUCUUUCCUCUUCUCUCUCCUCCCUUUUUUUUCUUUCUCUCCAUCUCGUUCUCUCACAGUCAACUAGACCGGCAGCUAAGCCACCGGCCCACCCUCUCCUUUUUCCAAUUAAGAUGUACUUUCAAAUUUUAUCAUAAUAUAUAAUUUUGGUGUAAAAAGUUCUCCAGAUUAUCUUGAAAUCUAUUUUCAUAUCCAAUUAAAUUUUAAAAAUAGUUAAAAUCAUUUAGAUCUAUAAAUAUAUAAAUUUUUUGAAAAUGAACUGUCGCCAUAAUGUUGCAAGAUACACUAUUUUAUAAACUCAAACUUUUUUUUUUUUCACAUUCAUAUCUAAUUGAGAUGAUCAAUUAAAGGAUUUUUCAGCAUUAAAACAAACUUGUUCGAUCUAUUUUAGAAGUGUAACUUUAAUUCUAGAUUUUAAAGUUGCAACCUUAUAUUAACUUUUUCCUUCUUUUAUAACCCGAAGAUCAUUGCAAUUGCAUGCAAUCUUUAUUUCUUUAUUUUACAUCCUAACGACUUCUUCCGGUUCCAGGUAAUUGAAUAUGUUGUAUCCAAACCCUAAACUUCUUGAAGGAAAAAAAGCCCACCCGCUCCCCACCCGCUCAACACCCGCUCUCUAUAUCAGAGAGCUCAACCGGGGCUGAAAAGCAUCACGAAGAAGAUAAUCCGCAAAAAUCAGUGAGUUUUUUCUUUUUUUUUAAUGUUUAUUAAGCAGAUAAACCUGCAAUUUGUUAACUUUUUAUUUGUAUUAAUUUUUAUUUUUUUCAUUUUCUGUGAACUGUUAAUUUGUAUUUUUUUGUGGUUAUUCUCAAUGUAGGGAUCCAUUUAUCAAGCAGAAAAACUCGAAAUUUGAGUUUUCUGUUUAAUAUAUAUAUAUAUAUAUAUAUAUUCUGGUUAUUCUCACAGUAGAACUGUAGGGAUUCAUGUUAAUGAUUUGGGUUUUUUUUUGCUCUGUUCUUGUUUUUUAAUAGCUCAUAUCACCAUACCAUUGAUGGAUAUUUGUGCCCUUUUCUUUAUGCUUCUCUACAAUCACUUUCUAUAAUCAUCAAAUGUAGGAAGGUGAUUUUUUUUUUUCUGAUUUAGUUUUCUUUUUUUUUCUCUAUUAAUCUCGAACUGUCCCUGUUUUCCAAUAUUGGGUAUUUUUUGUUCUUUUUUUCUGAUUUUUGUGUUCUUUUUUUAUUUGUGCCCUUUAUUUGUUAUGGUGUGAUAAAUGUGCUCACGCACUUCUUCGUUUUCUAAUGAAUGGACCUGUGAGUUAGGGUUUAAUUCUAUGGUGUAUCUGCACCAUCAUUUGUAGAUCUCGUACUUAAGGUCUUGACAAAAUUGCGGUGAAGGAGUAACACCAGUAUGCUUUUUAGGGUUUUCUUAUGCUUCUUCAGUAUUGCAAUCUCUCUAUAUCUUCAUUAUUGCAAAAAUUGCGGUGAAGGAUUGGCCUCUCUCUCUCUCUCUGUCUCACAUUUACUCUUUGUCUCUUACUAGUUUCUGGGUUCGAUAGUCAUUGAAUAAUAUCCCUUCCCCAGCUUAGAAUUCAUAAUGUAGUCUUUCUCUUUUCACAUUAACUGUCAUGUGCACCAUUUUUUUUACUGGUUUACUGAAUUUCUAGUUUUAUAUGGCUUGAUAACAUUCUAUACAAAUAAACUGUGUUCCCUGCAUAACUGUUGUAUUACACUUCUAGGCAAUUUUUUUGAGUAUCUAGUGCCUCAUGGUUAUGGGGUUUGGGAGUUGUUUGUCAUUUUUUCUAUAUUUUUGUUUAACUAAUUCAUGUCACAUCCUUAUUUGAGAAACUGCCCGGAUGUCAUUUGGAUGACAGUUCACUUCAUCCAUCAACCUCUUCAAUGCCAUUUAGAAAAUUAUUACUGAGUUGUUGCGAAGGUUUUCUUCAUUAUGCUGCAAAUUGUGGCAACACUCUAUUAUAAAUAUUAGAUUCCAAUAAAAUGGAAAAGGAGAUGAGUCCCAAGGCUGUGUAUUUAAGAACUAGUGCGUGAUUUUGCUUCCAAUGAAAUAGACAUUUGGAACCCUGCUUGCUAGCUCUAUAUCCCUUGAAUUUCAUGUCACAUUUCCAAUUGGAUUUUUUCAUGCAUGGAUAAAUGCUUAUUGAUGAAGUUUAUUGCAUGAAUUAGUGAUCCAUAACUUUGUACGGUGCGGUGGCAAUAUUGAAUGUUCAGCUUUCAAACUUUUAAAUAUCUAUUUCUUAAAUAAAUGAUAUAAGUUUGCUCUUGAGGGCUGCCUGUGCAUUGAGUGAAAUCUUUAUAUUAAGAAAAUCAAUUUUCUUCAAUAUUUAUGUAAAUAUUGGUAUUCCUUGAAUCUAUUUACAUGUUUGGUAAUGUGUUGGAUGAAUGGAAGGAACCUUAUUUAAUUAUAAAAUGUUUUUUAAAAAACUGCAUUUCGCACAUCAUAUCAAUAAAAUACAUUAUGGGUUUCCAGCUUUCCCAUUUCCAAACAGGUGAAAUUACUACCACCAGAGUUUAUCAAACAGGUUGGCAGCUUUCACCCUACCAAAUCUUCACUUGCAGCAGGAGUGAUUCACAACACACUGCGGUGAAAGUUAUCAAACCAAAUCCGAAAAUCUAUGAAAGUUGCAGCAGGAGUGAUUUCCAAUGACACUGCGGUGAAAGUUAUCAAACACUACCUAAAUCCCAGAAUCUAUGAAAGUUGCAGCAGGAGUGAUUCCCAAUGAUACUGCAGUGAAAGUUAUCAACACUACCCAAGUACAAACUGAUUGGAAAUAGAGGCUUGAAGAAACCCUGCUUUCACCCUACCAAAUCUUGAAAGUUAUCGAACACUACCUAAGUAUAAACUGAGUGGAAAAUAGAAAACACUAUCUAAGUACAAACUGAGUGGAAAAUAGAGGUUUGAAGAAACCCGCCAUGGCCGCAAGCUCUGCAAACAAAGGCCUAACCACUCAGCGUUUCUCAGAGCUGGAGCCCUCUCUCUCAAAGAAAACCCUAGACGUGCUCGACACCUGUGGCUUCCAUUUCUGCACUCCCGUUCAGAGGGCCACAAUCCCUCUGCUCUGUUCAUACAAGGACGUUGCUGUCGAUGCGGCCACUGGUUCUGGAAAAACCCUAGCUUUCAUUGUACCUGUCAUCGAGAUUCUUCGGAGGAUCUCUGAGCCUCCUAAGCCCCACCAGGUCCUCCUUUCUCACCUCUCUAACUCUUUCUUUCUCUCUCUCAAUUUUUUUUUUCUUUAUAUGUAUUGAUAGCAAAGAGUGUGUGUCUUAGCUGUUUUGAACAUAAUAAUAACUGAUUAUUUGUUGCUUUUGUUCUGGUGAUUGGAUGAUUCAAGUCUUUUGGUUGUGGUUUAGAACUUUAAUGAGUUAGAGAGCAUUGGGGGAUGCAAUAUUCUUUUGUUAUUCAUUGGAAACCCUAACCCUGAUUUCUUAUUUCACUACCUGGAUUUGGAAUGCUGGAACAAUUGGGACUUCAUUUUUCUUUUUUCUUUUUUUUUUUUCCUUUGCUGAUUAUUGUGAUUUUAUUUUAUAGUCCUUCAAUUUUUUGAUUUGAUGUUUGUUUUUUUUUUCUUUUCUAUUUUUUAUAUUUUCUUCCUUGAUUUAGUAUGAAUGAAUUGUGAAUGUUGCUAAGAGUUGAUGCUUCAAUAUUGAAUCAAAAGAACAUUGCAAGCAUGUCUUUUUAAUAGAUAGUUUGCUAUCAAUUUAUGGGACUUCAUAUUCACAUAUAAAAAAAUCUGCUUGAUGUUUCUUGGUUUUUUUGUUUGACUAUUUGUAGUUUGUUUGUAGUCAUUGUUAUAAAGCAUUGGGGUCCUUUUAAUUCUUCCCGCCCUGUUUAUGGCUACUUAGAGCCCCAAAUGAACGGGUAUUAAUGAAUUUACUUCUAGGUAAUUAAAGUUUCUGUUUCUUCUUUUUACUGAAGUUUUGAUACAAAAUGUUGCUAUGCUUAUGGUUUAAAUUAUGUUUUUUUAUGGUAUCUGCAUAAAGUGAUUCAAUAUGUGACUCAGUUAUUUCUUUUCGAAGGUUUUGGGGAUAAUUAUUUCUCCGACGAGAGAGUUGUCAACGCAAAUUUAUCAUGUUGCAGAGCCUUUCAGUUCAACGCUUCCAAAUUUUAAGGCUGCACUUCUUGUUGGGGGUUCAAACAUAAAAUUGGAUGUCGAAAAAAUAGAAGACGAGGGAGCAAAUUUAUUGAUAGGUACACCUGGGAGGCUUUUUGACAUCAUGGAGCGUUUGGAUGUCCUUGAUUUUCGGAACCUAGAGGUGCUUAGUCUAAUUUUUUCCAUCAUUUUAAUAGCAUAGAAUAGUUAGCUUUGCUUCUUUGCUGUUAAAAUAUUGUACAAGUGCGUGGCGAAAUAAAAAAUUGAGAGAAAAAAUGGGGAUAAAAAUCUACAAAAUUUUAAAUUUUUUGAGUUUGGGGUUCAUACAAAUUGUCUGUAUGAUGAAGGGGCAAAGUGGUUUCGGGGCUGUUAAAUAGCCUUGAUUGAGUUACUAAUGUUUCUUUGAACAACGCUUACUGGAAUAUCCAUUUUAUGGGUUUGUUUAUUUUACAUUAUAAUUAAAGAAACAACUCAAAAUAAGAAGUUGGCUUGAUGGGGUAGUUCUAUUUGUUGUUUAAAAUUCUCGUGGUAUGAUUCUUGCAUUACUUUGAUCAAUGAAACAGAUAUUGAUUCUUGAUGAGGCGGAUAGGCUUUUGGAUAUGGGGUUUCAGAAGCAAAUAACGUCCAUCAUGUCUCGCUUGCCAAAGUUGAGAAGAACAGGCCUUUUCUCUGCAACUCAAACUGAGGCUGUUGAAGAACUCUCCAGAGCGGGUUUGAGAAAUCCUGUGAGCAUUAAUGUUCGGGCAGAGGUUAAGGCACAUGGUGAGUUGGCUCCUUCAGCAAAUGCAUCAUUUUCCAAGACACCUUUUGGACUUCAUAUUGAGGUAUUUGCUGUUGCACGAUAUUCGUUUGUUUUAAGUCAGAGUAGUUUUUGCUAGUGAAAGUUUAAGCUAUGGUUAUACAUGUAUUUGAAAUGUUUGUUGUCAUUGUUAUAAUACUAAUACUAUUAUUAUUGUUGUCGUUCUUAUUGUUCUUAUUAUUGUUGUAUUGAUAGAUUUUAAUAAUAUUAUCAAUGUUAUUACUAUUGUGGGUUGUAAUUGUCAUUGUUGUUGUUAGUGUUAUUAUUAUUAGCAUCACUGGUAAGUACAUUUCUUUUUGGUAAGCUGAUAGGUAACUUUAAUGAGGGACUGAUUUUGAACUCUUGACCUCUCUCACUGAGGUUCAUUCUGUUUUCUAUUGUGGGCCAAAGCAUAUAGUAAUGUGAUAUUCUUCACUCUUCUUCAUAGAAACUUGUCCCUGCCGUCUAACCCAGUACUGCUACUUGUCAUCUUUGGUGAUGAACUUGAUGAAAAUAUCUUGUUUCCAUCAUCAUCAUCAGAACCUUUUCCUAACUACUAACUAAUUUAUUUCCUUUGGUUUUGCAGUAUUUGGAAUGUGAAGCAGAUGAAAAGCCCUCGCAGCUUGUGCACUUCUUGUCCGAGAAUUCCUUCAAAAAAAUUAUUAUGUAAGAUCAUGUUUAUAAUGCUAGGUCUCCAAUAAAUUUUUUGUUGUUCUGUACAUAAGCCAAAAGAUUAUAUGAUCCUGCAGAAGCGUAUCUUGUGUUCACUCCCUCGGGUAAAACCCUAUCUAGGAAUACUUUUAGGAUCCCAAAUUUUGGGUAUGUAAUGUCCUGACCUUGGACAGCCAUAUCAAAGUGUUUCAAAAUUCAAUAUCCAUAUUAUUUGUUGCGAAUGCUCAAUUGAUCAUUAUUUGUUGCGAAUGCUCAAUUGAUCAUUAUAAAGUGGAUUCCAAAAUGUCAGGAUGAGAAAAUCCUCUUAAGUAGUUUUUUGCCUGAGGUAGUACAUUACAAUGUGCUCUUGUGGGAGUAUUCUAUAUAAGCUGAUAUAUAAUGUGAUUGAAUUUAAAGCUUAUCUUAUUUAAACAUGUUGCUGGUGUUCUUAUUGUUUCCAAGAGUCUUAUUUAAACAUGUUCCUGGUGUUCUUAUUGGUUUCCAAGAGUCUCUGAUUCUGAUAUCUCUGUUUCCAAGAGUCUUUGAUUCUGAUAUCUCAAAAUGCCCUUGAAAUGUAGAUAUUUCAUGACAUGUGCUUGUGUUGAUUAUUGGGGGGCGGUGCUACCUCAGCUUGGGACUCUUAAAGGAUGCACUUUGAUUCCUCUUCAUGGGAGGAUGAAGCAGGUAUCGCCAUUGAUAUGAAUUCUAGUGUCUACCAGUCUCUUACUUUAGUAGGUUGCAUUGUCGCUGCAAUUCUCAAAUGAGUAUAAAAAAUAGUGCAUUACUCUGGAAAAGGGGUUCUGAUGCUCCUCAGAAGAAAAAUAUUUAGGAUUGAACACUCAUGUCAAAUAUGGGGUGUCUUGGGUGUUAAUAAAUGACAUUCUAUGGGGUGCUAUGGUCUGGCUUCCAUUAGUGCAGUUUCGUAGAGGACAUGGCAUUGUUUUUUAUUGCUUUGGUUAAACUAUGUAAGAUUUUAGUAUGUAGGACACUCAUUUGUGGCUUAUUGAGUUACCUUUUAUUGACAAAGCCUCUCCAAGUUAUGGUGUGAAAAUGUUCUUGAUGAUAAAAACAUAUUAAGUUCAUUGUUUUGAUUGGGUUAUUCUUUAAUUUCUACUCUUUUAUUUUCCUUGAGUGGUGAAGAAGGGUAGGCUUCGGAGGAAAUUCAUCCGGGUUUGAAUUUCAUUGACAAAAUAUGGGGUGUUCUUUAUUUUGUUUUUGGGUUGGAUCUCUUGAAUGGAUUUUGAAAACUAUUACUCCUUUGCAUCCUCUUGUAGAUUGUGAGGGAGAAAGCAUUGGCCUCUUUUACAGCACUUUCAAAUGGUAUUCUUCUAUGCACAGAUGUUGCAGCGCGAGGACUUGAUAUUCCGGGUGUUGAUUGGAUUGUUCAGGUAAAGUAAUCAUGGAUAUAUAUAUAUAUAUAUAUAUAUAUAUAUAUAUAUUAUGCUGUUAACGGUAGGAUAUUUAUUCUUAUGGCCAGCCAAUGAUGGAUUUCCCCAUUUGCCCAAGUGCAUCCUUGGAUAGUUUUGUAGUGAACCGUCAUUUGUACAUGGCUUGGGCACCUGGGUGUUACAGCAUGAAUGCUUCCACUUCUUUAGUACCAUAUUGUGUUGCUCACAUAGUCAUUCCCUCUUAUUUGAUUCUCCUACUUUUGAUCUUUCUUUCUCUACCACAUCCUAGUGGAUUGAAGCUUCAUCAAGAAACCCAAAUUGUAGCUAGGAGUGGGUUGUAAACUUAUAAUGAUUCUACUUAUCCUGAUGAAUUGGAUUCGAGGAUUGAAGGACAUUUUUCUUGAGAACACAAAUACUACUAUGGGUUUCAGUGUGGAACACCUUUGCAUCAGUCUGAAUCAAUUAUAUAUUAAAGAACUCGGGUGAUAUGUUGGAUACUUUGUCUGCAGUAUGAUCCUCCUCAAGAUCCAAAUGUUUUCAUACACAGAGUGGGACGAACUGCAAGGAUGGGUAGAACUGGCAAUGCCAUUGUUUUCCUUUUACCAAAGGUUUGCUUCACAUGCAUGGAUAAUUGCCUUUACAUAUUUUAAAUUAGCUAUUCUUUAAGCAUAUUCAACUAUGAAAUCUUGGUUCCACACAGGAGGAUGCUUAUGUGGAGUUCCUCCAGAUAAGAAGGGUUCCACUUCAAGAAAGGAAAAAUUCAAAUUUCCCCCUGGAUAUAAUCCCUGAGGCAAGUUGUUACAACUUUAUCCUUACUUGAUGUGUACAUAAGCAUGCUAUUUUUUAAUGCUCUUUUUAGUGUUUUAGGUUGGAUCCUUUUUAUACAGAUCGUUUUUUCAGCGUUCUGCACACUGUUUUGUGGAUGUAGACAAGGUGAAUUUUUUGGGAACAUGAUUAUUAGAAAAAAAAUUUUAUGUUCCAAUUUCCAUUAACAAAGAUGCCAUGUAAUCCAAGGAGUUCAUGCUCAUGGUCUUCUUGUAAUGUUGGAACAUAGAGAUAGUUACCAUGCAUACCCCGGAAGUCACAUCAUUUAUGUCAAAACUUAUCGAGAACUUUGUAAAUCUUAUUAUCACCAUGAAGGACCAUGGAAAAUUUUGCAUUAUUUGGAUUAUACUUUUAAGUGGUUCAGUACUUAAAAGGAUGGUGACAUUAGCCAAAUACCCUUGGAAAUUCAGUCUGGCAGUUUGCAUGUUCCAUCACGUUGAGAACCAUAAAUGCUAUGCCAACAUUUAAUUUAUUGUUUCAUUGUAUACAGUGUUUUCUGAACCUCUAUUUUAACAUGUAUGGCAACUACAAUCUAGAAGUCAAAACUAUGAUCUGGUUUGGCUGCUUCUUUUGAAGUAUUUCUUAAAUAGGAGUCAUGUAAUUUUUAAAUUUGUUUUGGCAGAUACGUGCUGCUGCAAAAAAGGACCGUGAUGCCAUGGAAAAGGGACUGAGAGCAUUUGUAUCAUAUGUUCGGGCUUACAAAGAGCAUAUUUGCUCUUAUAUUUUCAGGUUUGUUUUUCUUCUAGUCAAUUUAAUGAUACAAGCUUUUAGUUAUCAGAAACUCUCCAAUGCUCAUAUUUAUUUGUUCUCUUUUAGAUGGAAGGAGCUGGAUAUUGGUAAGUUAGGCAUGGGUUAUGGCCUACUUCAGCUCCCUUCGAUGCCAGAGCUGAAGCGUUAUUCCCUGUCAACCAACAACUUCACACCUGUAAAUGAUAUUGAUUUAUCAGAGAUCAAGUAUAAGUAUGUCCCUUUCACUUCGUCAGGCCUACUGUUAUAUGUCUUGUGCCUAAGUUUAUUUCACUUGAUGUUUGAAAGUUUUUAAGAAUUGUGAGUUCAUCAGCACACUUAUUCAUUUGAUCAUAAUAGAAGUUUUGGAAAAAUAUAUUAUAACCCAAAUAGGUUAUGGAAAACCUAGUUCACUGGGGUCAUUGCAAUCCCAUGGAAUGAUGGAUGGUGAUGGAAAGAGAAUAGGAGAUUACAAUUCAGUCACGUCCUGUUUCGGGUGGGUCUCACUCUCCCUUAUCAUCCAUCCUUUUCUUGGGUAGUGAUGACACGAUGAGAACCAUAGACUCUUGGGUCAUAACCAUUGGAUGACACAUGAGGCACAUGUGAUAGAGUGGGUGGAAGGACCAACCAUUAGGAUCAUGUCCUGUUCUUCUGGUCGUCCAUCAUUUUUGUGCCCCUUUAGGUAUAGUAUCAGCAUUGUCAUCCAUGCUUUAUCCCAACUACAGGAUUCAAGAAAUAGAUGUGGCAAAAAUUUCACACUGGCUGCUAACCUAAUACAACCCUCCCCCUUUCUAUGGGCUUGGAAAUUGGAACUGGCUUGACCGGUUUGGGACCUCCUGUGGUGGAGUUAAGUCCUAUCCAUAGUUAUUGGAACAGGGUUUAAAUAAGUUUAAUCUGUUAAGUAAAUGGAUUCAUUUUUUUUUUGUCUUCAUUAACUUUGGAAGCCUAGGAGAAUUGAAACCAUUCAAUUAGAUUAUUCUCUUUGAUCAUCGAAACACAGAGAUAAAGCUCGUGAGAAACAGAGAAAAAAGAAUUUGUCAAGGAAACUGGAGAUUGCUUCUGAACCGAGGCCCAAACCCAUAAAGCCAACUAGUGAUACCAAAGGAGAGAUGAAGAAGAAGACACAAAGGCAGAGGCAUGCUGUUCAAACGGUCGAAGAUGAAGAAGAGAUGGAGAGAGAGUAUCGCCUUUUGAAGAAGUUGAAGAAGGGUGCUAUUACUGAGAGUGAGUUUGCAAAGCUAACUGGCAUGGAUGAUUGCUUGGAAGGAGAGGGUUUGCUGGAAUCCGGCAUUGUGAGCCCCGAAGCCAAAACCAAGAAUAGCAAGCAGAGAAAUCUAGUGGGAAAACCAGGGAAAUCAAAGAGUCGAAAAGGGAAAUCUGGCAGUAAAAAAAGUAACUCAUUUUUGAGGCAGUGUUCCAGAGUUUAAUCUGAAAAAGGCGGAGAGAUUUUUCAGGAGUUUAAAUAAAAAAAAGCAUGAGUGAUGAGCCUUUUUCAUCUAUUCUUUUAUUUUAUUUUUUUAUCAUUUUAUUGUCAGGGGAUAUGAAGGUGGGAUUUAGAGUAAGUGAUGGUUUCCGUAAAUUAUGAGCGUUGUUGGUCCUUUCCUCUCAAAUUGAAAUUUUGCGGUCUGCCCUUUAUAGCAAUCUUCUGUAUAUUAGAUUAUGGCUUUGCUCCCUUUGAUUUAGAUAACCCCUAAUUUUUGGGAGUUAGUAGCAUUUUAAGUCUACUGUUACUCGUGGAUUUGAUAACUCUCGUUAGUUAUUCUUUUCCCUUUAGAUGCAUGAUGAAAUGAUACUUGUAUUUAUUUUUAAUUUUGUUUGUAAGGAUACGUGAUUUUUUUGUUGAUUUGAGAUUUUGCUUGUUUUACUCAAUUUUGCCAUUCCUUUUGACCAUUUUCUGAUAUAUUGUACUGUGCUCCCAUGGGAGCAUACUCUAAAUUUACUCCUUCAGUUAAAAGUGAGGACUCAAAUUUUGGGAACCACCUAAUAAUUAGCAGACGGCUAUUUUCAAAAAAUAAAAUAAAAUUGGAUUUUGAGUUCUCCAAAUACUUAGAUCUCACCUUCUAAAAGUUGGACGGUCUCUAUGAGAUAUUAAAUUUUUUUUUUUAAAACCUUUAUCUAAGGGUAAAAUCUUAAACUAUCAAAUUAAGGCGUGUUUCAAAAUUUUUCUAGGAGAUGGUUCGAUGUCUAAAAUUUUUCAAAUCCAUCAUCUCGACUUCAAGAUUUAUGAAAAUGAGAAAAAAUAGAUUUUAUAUCUUGAAAAUAGUGCAUCUUGUAAUGUAUUUGUAAUGUAUUUUCUGGACUAUCAAUUUUCGAAAAUUUUAAAUAUCUAUAAAUUUAUUUGAUGUACACCAUUUUUAAAGCUUUAAAAUUUAUUGUUAAAAAUAAAAAUAAGUAUUCAAACCGUCACAAAAAUUUAUUGAAAUGACAUUUUAGCGGUGCGACAUUCCCUCUCUCCCUUUAAAGCCAUAUGCUCCAUUUUCUUUUCCUUCUCGCCACCUGCCCUUCUCUUCGUUUCUACUGGACAUGUGCCAUCCUUGACCGUGUACUUCUGUCUCUACUCUAUUAGGCCGUUUCUCUCUCCCCUGGUUUUUUUUUUUUGUUUUUCUAUCCCUAGAGCAUAAUUCGGGUGGGUAAUGGACUCGCCUGAGUAACUCGGUUUGAUCAAGUGCCUUGGCCGUGGCGAGUCUUCACACACUGUUUGCACAACAAAAUAAAAAUGUAGAAUUGUUUUAAUUAUUUAGUCUCAUAUCCCAUAUUUGAAGUUAGGGUAAAUAAAUUUCCAGAAUGAAGUAUUUUAUAACAAAAAGAGAUGAAUAUUCAAUAAAAAAACAAUCCUUUUUUAUUUAUAACACGUCGAACAUGCCAAUUCAUGGCUACACUUUUGUAAUUGACGUAGGUCACUGCAUUCGCCACCAAUCAAAUAGAUAUACACAUAUCGAGUUUCCAUCAUUAGAGACACAGAGAAAGGGGGACUUAGAAGAUUUUAUUUAUCUAAUGCAUGUUUAAGGAAGGUGAUUAAUGGCUUCUACCCUAUCACCGGCACACGUGUGACAUUGCCCACGAUGAUGCCGGGUUCGACCCAAACCACGACCCUAUCGCACCGAAAUUCUGGAUCAUCAAGAAUGAUUCCUUCGGGCAGGACUACAGCCUUAACGGUCGGAUUCUCCUUCUCGAUAGUUGCAGCUGCAAUCUCGCCGUUCACGCCCACCAAUUCCGGCCAUGAGCUCUUCCCUGUCUCAACAAAUCAUGUUACUUUGUUAAUACGUGUCACAUAUGAAUGUAAUGAUCAAAUCCUAAGGGGAGCUUGGAUUGAUCGAGUAGGUACCAUGAAUCGUGACUAAAGUUAAAAAUCGGCAGCUUUACGAGUCAAUAACAAUGUGAAAAUGGAGAGAGAACAAUAACAAACAAAAUCAAACACAGAGCAAAUAUAAAUGCAAAGAACAGAGAAGGAUACUGGUAUUCAUGUAGCUUAACGUAAAUGUGAUUACAUACAUGUGCAAAGAUGAUUUCAUAUGCAUCUCCAAAAGGUGCAGGCCUGGCACAUUGCUAGCUCUAAUAACUAAGAUAACCCCAAAGAAACUUAUUUAUAUGCUGGAGAAUCAUCUGGCAGCUUCAAAAGGUGCAAGAUGAUUCUUCUGAUAAAUUUAUCAUUUUAAACAAAAAUUAUAUAAAGAUCUUAUACAUCAUCUCAAGCAUUUUAAAGGUGGCAACAAGCUGGGUGGCCUGGCUCAUCUCGCCCCGGUCAGCUCAGCCCUAAAAAAUUAGGGCUUGGGUCACAAAGUGUGGCCGAGGGUAGGGCCGGGCAGGCCCGGCACAUUGCUUGUUCUAACAACUAAGAUAACCCCAAAGAAACUUAUUUGUAUGCUUGAAAUACCACUAUAAGUCCCCUGAACCCGCACACUAGAGCUAAGGAACGGGAUCCAAAAUGGGAUAGAUGCUAUGUUACAAUAACUUCAAGAAACAGUAGCGCACAGAAAACAAAAUAAUAAUAUUCCUCAGUAAGGCCUCAGGAAAAUGAACAAAAAUAAAGAAAAAUUAUGAUUUUCUAGAAGUGUCAAAAUGAUCACGAAAUUCCUGUUUCAAAAUGUGUGCACUGUCAACACCACACGUGCGAGAGAUCUAUGCAGGGAGUGGCCUCUCUUUCUCUCCAUGCACGCCAGAAUGAGUGGUAAGGGAUAUCUUUACCUUGACACUCUGAAGCCAUGUCUGAACCUUUUCUUCUUUCUUCUCUAUCUCUAAAAAUCCUUAUAAUUGUGUGAAAGUAAAUCUCUCCCUUUCUGUAUUUCUCUCUCUGAAAGUCCUUUUAAUUGUGAGAGAGUCACCAAUAUUUAUAGCCAUUGGAUUAGUUCUUGAGGCUGUACAUUAUUGACUGCACACCGCCAUAUUUGAAUAGUCUCCUGUUGCUUCACAUACGAGGCAUAUGACUCAAUAACUUAUCCAACUUAGAUGGCUAUUCUUACACUAAACAUCCAUGAAAAGAACACGCCUUCUCAUUUCAAUUUCAAGACUCCUCUCCAUUUUUUUUUUUGAAGUUUUUUCUUUUGAGGAAUUUUAAACAUUGCAUUCAAAGCCUAUCUCCUCAUUAAAUUGGCUUUAAUAUGGAGUUUAGGUGACAUGUUGUGGGUAGGUUGAAUGAGGAUAAAUGAUGCAUUAUCCUUAUGAAAGAACUCCACCUGUGUGUACAUCUUCCACAAGCAAGCUAAGGAUAUCCAUAUUUUUAAACACAUCAAGGACCAAACUCAUUUUGAAGAUAUUCAUCCACCUCACCUAAGUUUAUCUUGCCUCUUCAUGUUUGGUUUAUUUGGAAAUCAAUUUUUCUAGUCAUAAGAUUUCUAACCUUGCAAACUUGAGGUGGCAAUAAGCCAGGUGGCCCGGCCCUAAAAUUAUAGGGCCUGGGCCACAUAAUGUAGCUCAAGAGCCAAGCUAGGGUUGGGCCACAAUAGCCCAAGGGAUACGAUAAACUCAAUUUGUAGGAAUGGGCUAAAGGCUAGGUGGUCAAAGUGGUGGGUCGCUACUAGUUUAUUAGAAUAAAACAAAAAAGCAAAAAAAAUAAGAAGAAGGAAACAUCAGUUUGUGCAAUUUUAAGGAACAUAUUCAAGGCUAGGUUGCAAGGGUGGCAGACUGCCACAAUAUGACAUCUUGAGUUCUAUUCCAACCAUAGGUAAGAUUUUCCUUCCAGUAAACUAUAGGGUUACUAGAAAGGUAGGAUUAUAUAUUCCAAGAGAAAAAAAUAUUAUUGAAUUCUCACUUCCGACUUUGGAACUAACAAAGUAAUGUGGGAGCACAAUGUUACCAGAUAGGUAGGGGUGGAAAUGGAUCCGUUCAGAUCGGGGACCCUAUGGGUAGGAUCCGGGUCCAAAACCUAGACCUGAAUACUAUUAUGCUCUGGGUCUAGGUCCGGCCGAACCCAACCCGUACCCGUAAACCAUUGGAGAUAAAACACUUGACUUUAAGCCCUAUUCGUUUGGGUGUAUUAAGGAUCAUAUACAAUAAGAACUCGUAGUUAUCUUUAGCUAUGAAACGACAAUGCAGAUGAUUGUGACCUUGUUGCUAAUUACAUGGCUAUAUGAUGAUAAAAAAAAGAGGGCAAAAAAGAAAAGCUCAUAAUCAUAUGGUGGCAAUGGACCCGACCAGACCAAGGACAUGAUGGGUAGACCCUGGACCCGAUGGGUCCGGGUCCAAAACCUUGGCACGAAUGCUAUUGGGUCCAUGUCCAGCCAGACCCCACCUGUUGCCACCCCUACAGAUAGGCAUGAUGGCCUUCCUGUGUCUUAUAAUAUAAUAUAAUAAUAUACACAUUAGGAUACAAUAUUUAGCCAUUUUGAUCCUUUCAAAAACUCAUUUCAGUGUUUAAAAAAAGUUGUUAGGUAUACAUAGUGUUGUCAAGUGGGAGCACAAUGUACACUUAUUCUUGCAACAAAAGAGCUACAUACAAGGAUCUACUGGACAAGAAAUUUGGAGAAAUUAAAAAAAGUUAAAGUUUUCUAAACAGCUAGAUCUGAGCAUCCAUAAUUGGGAUGGUUUGUUUAAUCUUAGGAUGUUAUCUUUUUCUCAAAGAGUAUAAGUUUUAAUUUAAUUAGAUUUAUUUAUUUUUUGAGGUCGGUUGCUAGGUUGAGGAGUCACAUCCCUAAAAUUUUGAGUCCUAAAGGUACUUCUACAAAGGGCUUUAUCUGACAGAGUAAAAGGAUGAUAUGCUCCCUCGGGAACAUAUAAUAUUUUGAUAAACUGUUGCAUAUGACUUAAUUAAAUAAGGAUUACCUUGUAAAUAAGACUAGAGAAAUCACCUUCAACUACCAGAUAGAAAUAGAAAACAGGUAAUGGAGAGAAUGGGGCAGGAUAAUGUUUGGGGAACCACUAUUCUUUGAUGGACUUGGAUCUUUGUGGAUUAAAAAUUAGGAUUGUUAGUUUAAUAGUUGAAGAAGGAUAGAUGGUGAGCCUGUCUUUGAGGGAUUGUGAGGCCUUAAUCUCACAUUCAACGCGUUAAGAAGAUAAUUUCCCAAGAGGCAUCUGUAUGACAUGGGAAGGCGUAAGGUUUAAAUGAAUGUUUAAUAAAAAGUGAUGUGUCGAUAUAUCUGUCGGUGUUAAUUUUCCACGUUUAUGUAUGGAUAAGGACCACCUGGUGAUUGUUCAAAUAUGGGGGCUGCAGUCAAUGGCGUGCACCCUAAAGCAAGGGAAACAGCACUAUAAAUCUCUGAGCUAACACUCGUAUCCUGCAUUACAAGGAUUCACAAAAACUGAGAGACAUGGCUUCAGAGGACUGCCAAGGUAAGGAUCCCCCAUUUACAUUUACAUUAAGAGAGAGGCCCGGUCUUGCAUUGCCUGUUGCACCUAUACUGCGGGUUUGGGCCUGCACAAACCCAGUGCAUGCAAAAUCAGAAACUCAUUUUCGUCAUUUCCUUUUCCUUAUCAAAUUACUUUUGUUGAAAUAUAUCCUAACUAUUGAAAUAUGAUAUACGGAUUAUAUUGUUAUCCGAAUCCCAUAUUUUGGGUAACUAGAUGUAAAGAAUAUUAUGAUGAUAUAUUUAACAGAUAUUUAAUACUCGAUGAAUGAAAUAAUGUGCACAACUGAAUAACCCUUCGUAAGUCCAAAAGACCCAACCACAUAAAGCUUUAUUUUCUUCUUCUCUUCUAGCCUUUUUCUUCUUAACUUAUUCUACAACUUCCUUCAUGGUUAUCCAGCAGUUCUGCUCAAUGGGACCGGAACGUAUAUUUGGUUCCACAGGCAAAACCCAGACUUCUAUUAACUGAAUUUUUUUAAAUUUUUUAUUAUAAUUAUAAUCAAUGUUAAGAUAAAAAAAAAAUUGAUUUGCAACGAUUAAAAUCCCAUGGUCGAUGGUGUGAUUUGGUGCUGUUUAUGAACUCCAGAUCCUUUUUCUUUUAAAUUGAUUUUAAAGAUGAAUAAAACAUUACUCGAGAAGUAUAGAAUAAAACUAGUCUUUUAAAGAUGGUGUUUUAGUUGUGGGGCCGAAUGUGCAAUUUGGUUUCUUGGGAUCACCAAACCCUUGUUCCUGUAAUUGAUUUCAAAAAAGAAAAACCUAUACAUUUUGUUUCAACUUCAAAAUGCCUGUAAAAUUACGCAUGAUUCCUUUUUUAUAUUAACUUGAGAUUCGGAUUUAAAUGUUAUGGGAUCUGCCACUCUGAUCACCUAUGCACCGUUCCUUUAACAUCCAUCGGUCUUUUAGAACUCAAGCGAUUUAAGUGUAAAUAAAUGGACAUAAUUUGCAGGGAAGAGUUCAUGGCCGGAAUUGGUGGGAACCAACGGUGAAGAUGCCGAGAAGAUUAUCGAGAGGGAAAAUCCAUUGGUGGAUGCUAGAAUCGUGACCGAAGGAUCCUCCGUUGAUCUGCAAUUUCGGUGCGAUAGGGUCUGGGUUUGGGUGAAUGAAGAUGAGACUGUCACACGUGUGCCCAACAUAGGCUAGAAGCCGUAAACGAUUUAUUCAGUUAUUUCUUAGCAUUUGGUUUCUAAGUCACGUGUGUGUUUAUGAAAUAAAGGGGAGCUCCCCAUCUCCACAUGUAUCUAUUUAUUCUGAUUAUCGUUGAUACAGUUAAUGUUAUCGUAUCAAUUUAGUGCUUAUUGUGAAAAGUAGACCACCAUGUCCUGAAAAUUGGAUUUAAACCUGCCAUCACUAUGCACGUGCGUAUAAUCCUGAAUAGUACGGACCAACCAAUGGAGAUUCCACUAUUUUUCUAACAGGCACGCGUGUGAACCACUUCGUGGGCAACUUCAGUGUUAUUAAAACUCAGCAAAUUAGCCAAGUGUGAUAUAUAGCUAAGUUUACAAGGAAAAAGUUUGAGGCUCUAGACAAUCAAAUUAAGGCGCACCUUACCUUAAAAAUUAACCGGAAGAGGCUCUCAAAUCGAUUUUCUUGACUUCAAGAUGUAUGAACAUGACAAAAUAUGGAUUUCAAGUCUAGGAAAUAGUGUAUCAUGUAAUACAUUUUAUGUAACGUCAACUUCAAAAUUAUCAAGUGUUUAUAAAUAUGUUUGAUCUACAAUAUUUUUGAAGCUUCAAAUUUUAUAGUUAAAUAUGAAAACACAUUUUAAGCCAUUACAAAGAUUUUUAAUGCUGAAAUAACAUCUUUCGACACUAUUUCAAGUUGCGCCUUACUUUAAUUGUUUAGGACCACUACCUCAUACAAACCCCACCCAUUUUAUCGUGGGAUUGUAUAGAAUGAGAUCAUUUAUUAUUGAUACAAGGAGAUCAUGCUCGUGUUCAGCCUUUAGAUGCGAAAUACAAUAGAAGUUUUAUUUUGGACUUUGUGCUCAAUCAAUGAUUAAACCUUAAUCACCCGAUUUCAUAUCCAACAGUCAUUAAUAAUUUUGACCGACUUGCAUAAAAAAUAAAUUGUCUCAUUAUAUACAUUUCCUUUUAUAAUAUAGUGUUUUAUAAUUUAUAUUAGGUUUGGUUAUAAAUUGUAACCCUCUAAUUUUUUUUUAAAUAAAUUUAUUAUCAUGUGAUGAGAUGAGACUCGACCUAGUCGACUUGGACCUACUCAUCCUCAGGCUCGGCUUCUGGCUGAGGCAAGUAUUCCCCCAAGCAGAUUGUACAGCCACCUGAAAAUUAUGAGGUGCACAUUUUCUUAUUGUGCUCCAAAUAGGUGUACAUUCUCUCUCUACAGAUGGAAACUCUCUCGCUCUCUCUAAAUCCAUUUCGUCCUUCUCUCUCUAAGACCAUCCUCUCCCUUUCAGAAUUUCCCCUAAUCUGCACCUCUAUCCCCUGCUACCUCUCUCUACGAUCUACCUUUCUCUGAAAGUGGAAAUGACAAUAGGAAUUGCAUAGACCGAAACUUUAGGCAUGAGCAUCAUGUCUUCUCUUCCUUUUACAACUCCAUCAAGCGGCCGCCAUGGUCGGAAAAGCCCUAUUCUCGCUGUUUUCAUCCCUCUCUCUCUCUCUCUCUCACAGUUCCUUCAUCUUCUCUCAGCCGCUCCCUCUAUCUUUUUUCCUCUCUCUCUAUCUUCCUCUCUCAGCCCGCCUCUCUCUCUCUCUUGUCCCAAUACAACAAAAUAAAAAUAAAGUUUAUAUAAAGUUGCAAACUUGAAAUGUAGAAUUAAAGAUGCACCUCAAAAAUCCAUUGGAUAAGCUUAUUUUAAUGUUUAAAAAACUUUCUAAUUGAUCAUCUUAAUAUCAAGAUGUAUGAAUAUGAAAAAAAAAAAUAGAUUUUGAGUCCCGGAAAUAGUGUAUCUUGUAACACAUAAUCUUGACUGUCUAUUUUUAAGAUUUUCAUAUUUUUAUAGAUCUACUUGAUUUUAAUCAUGUUUUAAGUUUAAAAUUUUAUAAAUAGAGAUGAAAAUAGAUUUAAAUUUUUUUUGAGGCAAGUCUUAAUUGAUUUGUACAACCUUAUAGAAACCACACCUUUUAAUUAUUUAGUUUCACUUCACAUAUUUCAAAUAAAGGUCUGCAAAUUUUCAAGUAAAGGUCAUAUUGCAUAUAUAUAUAUAUAUAUAUUUAAUGAUAAAAAAUGGGUGAGGAUUGUAUAAAGAAGCCCCUUUAGAGCGUAGAAGUAAGGCGUAUCUCUCAAAUUUACUUGGAGAUGUAGAUUUGGUGUUAGAAACUUAUAAAUAAAAAAAGUAUUUUUAUUCGUAGUUAGAAAAUUUGAAAUUUAAAAUAGUACACAUCAACCAGAUACAUAAACGCUUGAAAAUGUUGAAAAUAGACAAUCUAGAUAACAUGUUACAAUGGGUAAUGUUUAUAGGAUGUGGAUUUUUUUUUCCCUUUUUCUUCAUAUCCACACAUUUCCAGGUCAAGAUGGUCGAUUAACUUUCAAACACUAUCUUUUUAUAAGAUUUUUAUGGUGCCUCUUACUUCAACCUUAUGAGAUCGCAGCCUGUUAUAAACUUCUUUCUUCUUAUAACUAGGACUUCAUUAUUUAUCCCAUACAUGUAUUAUUGUUGCUUGGUUAUACAUGUAAUUUAGAGUAACGAGAGCUACACGCCUUUGAGGUUCUAUAGCGAUUACAUUAUCAUGAUGCAAAAACACCUAAAAAAAGAAUGUUUUAAAAAAGGAAAAAGUUGAUAUAGAGCUGAGGCUCGAACAAUCAAAUUAGAGCCCCCCUGAAAAAUUUCACUGCAAGAGGUUGUUUUGAUACCCAAUUAUCCUCGACUUCAGAAACAUGCAAUGGAUUUCAAGUUUUGUAAAUAGUGCAUCUUGUAAUGAAUUUUGGGAUCAUCAAUUUUCAAGAUUUUCAAUUUUUCAUAAAUCUGCUCUAUAUACACUAUUUUUGAAGUUUUAAAUUUACAAUUAAAAAAGAAAAUAUAUUCUAUCACAAAGAUUUCCAAUAUGAAACCACAUUUCUCGAUACUAUUUGAAGGUGUGUUUUACUUUGAUUGUUUAGAGCCUCGGCUCUAUACAAACCGCACACAUUUAGGAAAAAUUUUAUAUAGAGCCGAGGCUCUAAACAAUUAAAUUAGAGCCCACUUAAAAAUUUUACUACAAGAGGUUGUUUUGAUGAUGGACAUGGAAAAAAAAUGGACUUCAAGUUUUGAAAAUAUUGCAUAUUCUAACGCAUUUUUGGACCAUCAAUUUCAAGAUUUUAAAAUUUUCAUAGAUCUUCUUGUUCUAUACUAUUUUUUGAGACUUUAAAAUUUAUAAUUAAACAUAAAAAUAUAUUUUAAGACUAUCACAAAGAUUUCCAGUAUUAAAAUCACAUUUCUCGACACUAUUUGCAGGUGCGCUUUACUUUGAUUGUUUAGUGCCUCGUCUCUAAACAAUCAAAUUAGAGCCCACCUUCAAAUAUUGUCGAGAAAUAUGGUCUCAAGACUGAAAAGUUUUGUGAUAGCCUUAAAUUAUAUUUUCAUCUUUAGUUAUGAAAUUUAAGGCUUAAAAAAUAGUGUAGGUAAAAUAGAUCUAUGAAAACUUGAAAAUUAACGGUCCAAAAAUGUGUUACAAGAUGCAUUAUUUCCAAAACUUGAAAUCGAUUUUUUUCUCAUGUCCAUACAUCUUGAUGUCGAGGUCAUCAAUUUAAUGAUAUUUGAGCAUCAAAACAACCUCUUUCAGUAAAAAUUUUAAGGUAGGCUCUAAUUUGAUUGUUUAUAGCCUAGGCUCUACGUAAACUUUGCCACGAAUCCUGGGGCUCAUAUGUGCGUAAAAGUUUCCUCUACAUGAUACUUUUUUUUUAUGGAUUUUGUUACUCAUUGUUUAGGUAUAUAUAAUAUUUAACAUGGAGAUCAUGAACGUAUAAAAAAUAUAUUUUUAAAACUAAAAAUGAUUUUUUUAAAGAGAAAUUCUUAAACGAUUGAUUUUUCCCCCUCUUGGAGUAACUACAAUUCCACAUCGAAAUCUAAGAUGGAUGUGUAAUGCCUCGGGGGACACAAAUGUAGUUAGCAACGCAUAAACCAUUUUUCCUUAUUUAUUAUAUCUAAAACACGGCUUUCUUUUAACUUGUAAUUUUUACCAAUAAAAUUUCUUAACUUAAAAUAAAGAAGAUUAAUCUGCUGUUAACAUUCAAAAAAAUAAAAUUAGAAGACUGAUACUGUGUCGUAUCUUUUACUUUAGAGAAAAGUUUAUAUAGAGCCGAGGCCCUAAAUAAGCACAUUCAAGUUUACCUCAAAAAUUUCACUAGACGAGAUUGUUGUGAUGCCCAAAAAUACUCGAAUUGAUCAUCUCAACAUCAAGAUACAUGAACAAGAAAAAAAAAUUGAUUUCAAGUUUUGGAAAUAAUGUAUUUUGUAAUGUAUUUUUUUAUCGUCAAUUUUCAAGUUUUCAUAGAUCUGUCAAUCUACAGAAUUUUUGAAGAUUUAAACUUUAUGAAUAAAGAUCAAAAUUAAUUUUAAGGAUAUCAAAAAGAUUUUCAGUGUUGAAACCGCAUUUCUCGAUACUACUUAGCAAUAGGCUCUAAUUUGAUUGUUUAGAGCCUAGGCUCUAUAAUAACCGCACUCUUUACUUUAUAUGAAACUUAAAAUGAAUAGUAGAAUGUUAUUGUCUUGUAUAUGCAUGGAAACCUUAUUAAUAAGAAAAAUAUUAUUCAAGGGUCAAAACCCUUUACAACAUCAUUAAGGGGUCAAUAUAUUCAACUAACACUAUAAAUUUACUUUUAAAUUUUUCAUUUUUACUCAAAUACUCCAAAAAAUAUAUAUCUUAGAAAUACUUAUAGUACCCUGUUCAUGUUGGGAACUUGAAGAAGCAGAGCCAUUUCAUUAAUUUGACGCUUUCAAUAAAAUAAUAGGAGUACUUCUACUUGUCUAGGGUGGGUCAUACUGAAAAAUCCCAGCUCACUUAAGGUUCUCAACCCCAAUCAAAGGCAAUUUGUGAAAUUUUGAAGUACACUCCAAGCAAUUUGUGAAAAUUUGAAGUACGCUCCCUAGUGUUUAUUGUAAUUUUUUUACCCCCUUAAAAAUAAGAGAUUUUGACCCCUAAACGAUUUUUUUCCUACUUAAAAUUCAGGUGAGAUUCCUUCUUUGAAGGGUAGAAUAUAUGAUCCAAAUCCUUAUUUUCUUGUGACAAGGAUUCUCAAGUAGCAAUUAUAUGCAUUCAAUUCUCUUUCUUGUGGGAUAAGGUUUUGUCUCUCUCCAGCCGUUCAGAUACAAUGAAAAAUGUAGGACGUCAGUAUAUGAUCACAACGUACAAUACAUCCUUAGUAUGCAGUAUGAAAUAGAGGCCCAUGUCAAAAAAUAUAGUUAUGAAGAAUGUGUUAACAUAAAAUUUUGUACCACUUCUUUUAAUAACAAACUCUGUAAGGCAACUGAGGGCAAGAUUUAUAGGAUAGUAGUAGACUAGCUUUGCUUUAUAGGACGGAAUGUUGGUGGUUGAGAAACAACAUACCCAUAGGAUAAGUAUAGCCAAGAUGAUGAUGUUGAGCUAGAUGAAUGACAAGACAAGAAGGAAUAGAAUUUGAAAUGAAUAGUAAAGAACGUAGGUAUGACACUAAUAGGCGAUGAAAUGAGAUAGAGUGGACUUAGGUUGACUGAUCAUGCACAAUGCGGACCUAGUACAACACCUGUUAGAAGGUAUGAGUUAGUUCAAGUAGAACAUUUGAAAAAGAUAAAGGGUAGGCCAAAAGAACAUGGUUAAAAGUAGUGAUAAAAGUUAUGAGGAUCUAUGGCUACACCAAAGGUAUGACCCUUGAUAGAGCAGAAUAGUGGACUAGAAUUCAUAUAGCUGACCCUAAAUAGUUAGAAAAAGAAUGUGAGGAUGAUGACGAUGAUGAUGAUGAUCUUUUAAUAACAAAAUGGAAUAUGAAUUGCAAAUUUUGAGAUCCGAAAGAUCCCUAAGGCCUUUUGGCUAAUGUUGGAAUGCAGGUCUAGUUACCGAAAAAGUCUAUUUUCGAUGUAAGAAGUUGGCCAAAAUGUCAAUAAUGAGAAUUAGGAAAGAGUAUCAUACAAUGGAGAACCCCUUCAUUGGGGCUCUGGUUGGACACAUAUAUUGGGUCAAAUUAAUUGUUGCAGAGCCUUUUACAGAUUUUAAGGCUGCAUCCCUUGUUUGGGGUUCAAACAUAAAAUUGGAUGUGCAAACAAUAGAAGAAGAGGGAGAAAAUUUAUUGAUAGGUACACCUGGGAUGUCCUUGAUUUUCGGAACCUAGACGUACUUAGUCUAAGUUUUUCCAUCAUUUUAUUAGCAUAGAAUAGUUCGCUUUGCUUCUUUGCUUUUAAAAUAUUGUACAAGUGCAUGGUGAAAUAAAAAAUUGAGAAAAAAAAUGGAGAUAAAAAUCUACAAAAUUUUAAAUUUUUUGAGUUUGGGGUUUGAACAAGUUCUCUGUACGAUGAAGGGGCAAAGUGGUUUCGGGGCUGUUAAAUAGCCUUGAUUGAGUAACUACCGUUUCUUUGAACAACGCUUACUCGAAUAUCCAUUUUAUGGGUUGUUUAUUUUACAUUAUAAUUAAAGAAACAACUCAAAAUAAGACGUUGGCUUGAUGGGCUAGUUACUUUUGUUGUUUAAAAUUCAAGUGGUAUGAUUCUUGCAUUACUUUGAUCAAUAGUCUUAACGUAAAAUAAUUGUAAAUGGGAGAAAUGUUAAAAUACUUCAAACAAAGAAUAUUUCGAUAAAUUUCUCUCAAUUUUUUAUCACAUGCGAUAUUCAAUAACAAACAAUCCUUUUUUAUUUAUAACACGUCGAACAUGCCAAUUCAUAUGGCUACACCUUUGUAAUUGACGUAGGUCACUGCAUUCGCCACCAAUCAAAUAGAUAUACACAUAUCGAAUUUCCAUCAUUAGAGACACAGAGAAAGGGGGACUUAGAAGAUUUUAUUUAUCUAAUGCAUGUUUAAGGAAGGUGAUUAAUGGCUUCUACCCUAUCACCGGCACACGUGUGACAUUGCCCACGAUGAUGCCGGGUUCGACCCAAACCACGACCCUAUCGCACCGAAAUUCUGGAUCAUCAAGAAUAAUUCCUUCGGGCAGGACUACAGUCCUAACGGUCGGAUUCUCCUUCUCGAUAGUUGCAGCUGCAAUCUCGCCGUUCACGCCCACCAAUUCCGGCCAGGAGCUCUUCCCUGUCUCAACAACUCAUGUCACUUUGUUAAUACGUGUCACAUAUGAACGUAAUGAUCAAAUCCUAGGGGGAGUUUGGAUUGAUCGAGUAGGUGCAUUAUUGACUUCCACGAAUCGUGACUAAAAGUUAAAACCGGUAGCUAUACGAGUCAAUAACAAUGUGAAAAUGGAGAGAAAACAACAAAAAACAAAAUCAAACACAGAGCAAAUAGAAAUGCAAAGAAACAGAGAAGGAUACUGGUAUUCAUGUAGUUUAACGUAAAUGUGAUUACAUACAUGUGCAAAGAUGAUUAAUGAUUUCAUGUGCAGCUCCAAAAGGUGCAAGAUGAUUCUCCUGAUAAAUUUUUCAUUUUAAAAAAAAAUACAUAAAGAUCUUCUACAUCAUCUCAAGCACUACAGGGGUGGCAACAAGCUGGGUGGCCUGGCUUGGCUUGUCCUGUCCCCGUCAGCCCAGCCCAGCCCAAAAAAAUUAGUGCUUGGGCCACAAAGUGUGGCCGAGGGUAGGGCCGGGAAGGCCCGGCACAUUGCCAGCUCUAUCAUCUAAGAUAACCCCAAAGAAACUUAUUUAUAUGCUUGAAAUACCACUAUAAGUCCAACGAACCCUCACACUAUAACUAAGGAGCGGGAUCCAAAAUGGGAUAGAUGCUAUGUUACAAUAACUACAAGAAACAGUAGCACACAGCAAACAAAAUGAUAAUAUUCCUCAGUAAGGCCUCAUGAAAAUUAACAAAAAUAAAGAAAAAUUAUGAAUUUCAAGAAGUGUCAAAAUGAAUAUGAAAUUUCUCUUUCAAAAUGUGUGCACUGUCAACACCACACGUGCGAGAGACCUAUGCAGAGAGUGGCCUUUCUUUCUCUCCAUGCACGCCAGAAUGAGUGGUAAGGGAUAUCUUUACCUUGACACUCUGAAGCCAUGUCUGAACCUUUUCUUCUUUCUUCUCUCUCUCUCAAAAUCCUUAUAAUUGUGUGAAAGUAAAUCUCUCCCUUUCUAUAUUUCUCUCUCUGAAAGUCCUUUUAAAUGUGAGAGAGUCACCAAGAUUUAUAGCCAUUGGAUUAGUGCUUGAGGCUGUACAUUAUUGACUGCACACCGCCAUAUUUGAAUUGUCUCCUGCUGCAUCACGUACCAGGCAUAUGACUCCAUAACUUAUCCAACUUAGAUGGUUAUGUCUUACAAUAUACAUCCUUUAAAAGAAAACGCUUUCUCAUUUCAAUUUCAAGAUGCCUCUCCAUUUUUUUUUGAAGUUUUUUCUUUUGAGGAAUUUUGGACAUUGCAUUCAAAGCCUAUCUCCUCAUUUAAUUGGGUUGAAUAUGGAUUUUAGAUGACACGUUGUGGGUAGGUUGAAUGAGGAUAAAGGAUACAUUAUCCUUAUGACAGAAGGCCACCUUUGUGUUCAUCUUCCACAAGCAAGCUAAGGAUAUCCAUAUUUUUCAAACACAUAAAGGACCAAACGCAUUUUGAGGAUAUUCAUCCACCUCACCUAAGUUUAUCUUGCCCAUUCUUGUUCAGUUUAUUUGGAAAUCAAUUUUUCUAGUCAUAAGAUUUCUAACCUUGCAAACUUGGGGUGGCAAUGAGCCAGGUGGCUCGGCCCUAAAAAUCUAGGGGCCUAGGCCACAUAAUGUGGCUCAAGAGCCAAGCUAGGGUUGGGUCACAACAGUCCAAGGGAUACGCUAAACUCAAUUUGUAGGAAUGGGCUAAAAGAUAGAUGGUCAAGGUGGUGGGUCGCUACUAGAUUAUCAGAAAAAAAUAAAUAAAAAAAUAAAAGAAUAAGAAAAAGGAAACAUCAAUUUGUGCAAUUUUAAGGAUAUCAAGGCUAGGUGGCAAGGGUGGCGGGCUACUACAACAUGACGUCAGUUUUACUCCAAACAUAGAUAAGAUUUCCCUUCCAGUAAACUAUGGGGUUACUAGAAAGGUAGAAUUAUAUAUUCCAAGAGCAAAAAAUAUUAUUGAAUUCUCACUUCCGACUUUGGAACUAACAAAGUAAUGUGGAGCACAAUGUUACCAGAUAGGUAGGGUGGGAAUGGAUCCGAUUAGACCGGGGAACCGAUGGGUCGAAUCCAAGUCCAAAACCUAGACCAGAACACUAUUAUGCUCUGGGCCCGGCUUCUGCCGGACCCCGCCUAUACCCAUAGACCGUUGGAGAUAAAAACUUGACUUUAAGCCCAAUUCGUGUGAGUCUAUUAAGGAUCAUAUACAAUAAGAACUUGUAAUUAUCUUUACCUAUUAAAUGACAAAUCAUACGUCUUGAAAUCUAAUGCGGGUGAUUGUGACCUUGUUGUUAAUAAUAUGGGUAUAUGAUGAUAAAAGAGGAGGGCAAAAAAAAAGAAAAGCUAAGAAUCAUAGGGUGGCUAUGGACCCGACCAGACCAGGGACAUGAGGAUGGGUCCGGGUUCAAAACCUGGGCACGAAUGCUAUUGGGUUCGGGUCCAGCCGGACCCGACCCAUUGCCACCCCAACAGAUAGGCAGGAUAGCCUUCCUUUUUCAUGUAAUAUAGUAUAAUAAUAUACACAUUAGGAUAUAAUAUUUACCCAUGUUGAUAGUUUCAAAAACUCUUUUCAGUGUUUAAAAAAGUCGUAAGGUAUACAUAGUGUUGUCAAGUGGGAGCACAAUGUACACUUAUUCUUGCACCAAAAGAGGUAUAUGCAAGGAUCUAUUGGACAAGAAAUUUGGAGAAAUUAAAAAAGUUUAAGUUUUCUAAACAGCUAGAUCUGAGCAUCCAUAAUUGGGAUGGUUUGUUUGAUCUAGGAUGUUAUCUUUUUUUUGAAGAGUAUAAUUUUUAAUUUAAUUGGAAUUAUGUAUUUUUUGCCGUUGGUUGCUAGGUUGAGGAGUCACAUUCCUAAAAUUUUGGGUCCUAAAAGUACUACUACAAAGGGGUAGGCUUUACCUGAUGGAGUAAAAGGAUGAUAUGCUCCCCCGGGAGCAUAUAAUAUUUUGACAAACUAUUCCAUAGGACUGAUUACCUUGUAAAUGAGACUAGAGAAACUUCAAGAUAGAAAUAGAAAAUAGGUAAUGGAGAGAAUGGGGCAGGAUAAUGUUUGGAGAACCACUAUUAUUUGAUGGACUUGGAUCUUUGUGGAUUAAAAAUUAGGAUUGUUAGUUUACUAGUUGAAGAAGGAUAGAUGGUGAGCUUGUCUUUGAGGGAUUGUUAGGCGUUAAUCUCACAUUCAACGCGUUAAGAAGAUAAUUUCCCUAGAGGCAUCUGUAUGACAUGGGAAGGCGUAAGGUUUAAAUGAAUGUUUAAUAAAAGUAAUGUGUUGAUAUAUAAGUCGGUGUUAAUUUUCCACGUUUAUGUAUGGAUAAGGACCACCUGGUGAUUGUUCAAAUAUGGGGGCAGCCGUCAAUGGCGUGCACCCUAAAGCAAGGGAAACAGCACUAUAAAUCUCUGAGCUAACACUCGUAUCCUGCAUUACAAGGAUUCACAAAAACUGAGAGACAUGGCGUCAGAGGACUGCCAAGGUAAGGAUCCCCCAUUUAUAUUUACAUUAAGAGAGAGGCCCAGUCUUGCAUUGCCUGUUGCACCUAUACUGCGGGUUUGGGCCUACACAAACCCAGUGCAUGCAACAUCAGAAACUCAUUUUCGUCAUUUCCUUUUCCUUAUCAAAUUACUUUCGUUGAAAUAAAUCCGUGUAUUGCUUUUGUUGAAAUACAUCCGUGUACAGAUAACUACUGAAAUAUGAUGAUACACGGAUUAUAUUGAUAUCCAAAUCUCAUAUUUUAGGUAACUAGAUGCGAAGAACAUCAUGAUAAUAUAUUUAAAAGAUAUUUGAAGAUAUCAAUUUCUUUUUAUUUGUUAUUUUGUAUUUUUUAUUUAAUACUCGAUGAAAGAAAUAAUGGGCACUAUUGAAUAGCCUUUCAACUGUAGAUGUAGAUCCAAGAGACCGAACCACUUGUAUUUUCUUCUUCUUUUUUUCUUAAUUUAUUUUAUAACUUCCUUCACGGUUAUCCAGCACUUCCAAGGGGACCAGAAUGUUUAUUUGGUUCCACUGGCAAAACCCAGAUUUCCAUUGACUGAAAAUUUCUUAAUCUUUUAUUGUAUUUAUAAUCAAUGUUAAAAUAAAAAAUAAAUAAUCGAUUUUCAAUAAUGAAAAUCCCACGGUCGAUGGUGUGAUUUGGUGCACUUCAUGAAGUCCAAAUCCUUUUUCUUUCAAAUUGAUUUUAAAGAUGAAUAAAACAUUAUUCGAGAAGUAUAGAAUAAAACUAGCCUUUUAAAGAUGGUGUUUUAGUUGUGGGGCCGAAUCUGCAAUUUGGUUUCUUGGGAUCACCAAACCCUUGUUCCUUUAAUUGAUUUCAAAAAGAAAAUGCCUCCCUUCAUAAACCGACUCGCGUAUAAAUCAUAUCAUCUUUUGAUGUUUUUUUUAUUCCCUCUUUACGGUGCAAUUUAUCAAAGUAAGAGACACAUAUUCAAACCCUAUCUUGGCUAUUUAACAUUUUACUUAUAUGUUUUAAUUAAACUUCAAAAUGACCAUAAAAUUUUACGGUGCAAUUUAUCAAAGUAAGAGACAUAUUCAAACCCUAUCUUGGCUAUUUAACAUUUUACUUAUAUGUUUUAAUUAAACUUCAAAAUGACCAUAAAAUUUUACGGUGCAAUUUAUCAAAGUAAGAGACACAUAUUCAAACCCUAUCUUGGCUAUUUAACAUUUUACUUAUAUGUUUUAAUUAAACUUCAAAAUGACCAUAAAAUUACACGUGAUUUUGAGUUGAAAUACUAGAAAAGGGGUACAAUUUUACAUGGUUGAAAUGCGAGGUACAUUUGGAUAAAUUUCAUGCCAUAAAAUUUAAAAAUAAGAAAAUGAUUCCUUUUUUUUAUAUUAACUUUUGAUUAGGAUUGAAAUGUUAUGACACCUGUCACCCUUUCAAGCGGUUUAAGUGUAAACAAAUGGACAUAAUUUGCAGGGAAGAGCUCAUGGCCGGAAUUGGUGGGAACCAACGGUGAAGAUGCCGAGAAGACUAUCGAGAGGGAGAAUCCAUUGGUGGAUGCUAGAAUCGUGACCGAAGGAUCCUCGGUUGAUCUGCAAUUUCGGUGCGAUAGGGUCUGGGUUUGGGUGAAUGAAGAUGGGACCGUCACGCGUGUGCCGGACAUAGGCUAGAAGCUGUAAACGAUUCAUUCAGUUAUUUCUUAGCAUUUGGUUUCUAAGUCACGUGUGUGUUUAUGAAAUAAAGGGCAGCUCCCCAUCUCCAUAUGUAUGACUAUCGUUAAUACAGUCAAUAUAUGGUAGCAGCUUAAUGCUUAUUGUGAAAAGUAGCGCAACAUGACUUACAAACUGGAUUUACACUAUGCACAUCAUGAAUACUUAGUUUAGACCGACCGACCAAUGGCGAUUCCACCGUUUUUCUUGCAGGCAUGCUUGUGAACCUCAUGUCCAACUUAUAAUAUGGGAUUGUACACAAUAAGAUCAUUUACCUUUGGUAUAAGGAUCUCACCUUAUUUAUAAUCAUCCUAUGUGAAAUUUGAAUGCUUGAAUGUGUUUCAAAAUUCGAAAAAAUUUCUUUUGAACUUUGAUGUUAGUCAAUGAAAUAAAUGUAGCUACCCAAUUUUAUAUCAAGUGGUAAAGAUGAUAUAUAUAUGUAUAUAUUGAGAAAAUAUAUUGUGCGCCCAAGUGUGUACUGCUACAGUAAACGCCCACAGUCCAGAUUGAAUCUCGGCCGAUCUGACCAUCACAGAUGUCUUAUAGUGUUUGAAUUUUAUUUAUUUUUCUACAAAUCCAAAUUACUUGAAAUUUUAAGCGUAUAUUCUUAAAAAAUAGGCCAAUCUAAAAGAUAUAAAAAAACAUUUAUAUGAAAUAAAUUAACCAAAAUACCCCUAAAUAUUUUAGGGGAUAUUUUGAUCAAUUUUUUCGUGCAAAUUAUUGUUUUUAUAUUUUUAUUAGGUGCACCUUGAUGAGAAGAAUACACGCCUAAAAUUUCAAGUGAUUUGGAUUUGUAUAAAAAUAAUUAAAAUUCAAACACUAUCGGACAUCUGUGAGAGUUAGAUCGGUCACAGAUCUGGGUCAUUAUCGUAUGGGCGUACAGAAGUGACUCCCAUAUAUAAAUAGGGCAAUGAUUUCAUACAACCGUUGUAUAGUAAUAUGAUGCAACAACCUUGAAAAACCAUGUUAUUGUCAUUUGUUUGAUCCAAAUUUAAAAAUAUACACGCUUUUCAUUCUAAUGAACAAUCACAAAAAAAGAAAAAAAAAAAAUGGAAAACACAACCUAGAAAGUACUUUUUUAGCCCAAUUAACAUAGACCAUUCAUUUUGGUGAGAUUCUUAGAUCUAGGCCUUAGAAUGAUUUUUUUCAUUUCUAAUUUUUUUUGGAUGGCUUUAUUAUGAUUAGAUGUACAAUUAAAAAAAAAAAAAGAUUUUGAGUUUAUAAAAGUUAAGAUAAUGAAAUUCAUAAAAUAAAUGGUCUAGAUUCGUUUUUGAAGGGGACUCAUUUUGACGAUAUCUAGGGUUCAAAGUGAACUUUUUAUUUUUUGAGGAUUGAUUAUUGAGAUGAAGAGAGUGUGUGUGCAUAAUUUUGGGUCGUACAAAUACCACAAACAUGGUCUUCUAGAAUUGUCGUUGCAUUAUAUUAUGAUACAACUGUUGUAUUGGAUAUAUAUAUAUAUAUAUAUAUAUAUAUAUAUAUAUAUAUAUAUAGAGACUUACGUAACUAACUAACUAACUAAUACUACUACUACGUCGUACUACGUACUUACGUACUACUUAUUUAGUUUUAUUUUAGUUAUAGUAUAGUANNNNNNNNNNNNNNNNNNNNGUACGAUUAAGUUACGGUUACGUACGUAACAUACUAACUAACUAGUUACGUACUUACGUAUAGUACGUAGUAUUAUAUAUUAUAUAUACUAUGUAUAGUAGUAUAUAUAUAUAUAUAUAUAUAUAUAUAUAUAUAUAUAUAUAUGAGGCAUGUUAAACUACAAACCGAUAAUCAUACUUGCUGUCCAACUAGUUCAACUUGAUUUAUUUUUUUUGAUAGAUCUGUGGGGAAUACAGGCCGCUACACGUUUGGAAUGGAGACAAUUUCUUUGAAAGUAAUAGUAAGAAUUGAGGCCGUGACCUUUAAUUGGGUCUCAUGUGACCAUGACCCGAUCCGUAUUCUCAGUUAAGUCUGAUCUUAAUAACAUUAGUCAAUUUUGUUUCUCUUUAAACCUUUAAAAGUACCCCAAAUUCUGGCUAAAAAGAAAUAGCCCUCCAAAAAAAAUGUUUGUUUUUUUAUACAAGAGCACAUAAUUUUAUUGAUCAAAGUGAAUUACGAAUUACACAAGUAAAGAAGAACAUACAACUAAAUCUAAAGAUUCAGAUUCGUCUAAUAUAUCUACGACCUCGUUUGCCUCCCUAUAGGCGUGGUUGAAGAGUACCUUAUGUGAUUUGCAAGAAUCAGCAGAUUCAUUUAUUCACAGGCAUCCCCCUUGGGAGAUUCAUCUUAAAUAUGGAUUUUGAUUCUAGAUUUUUAAGGAUCCAAAAUCUAUAUCACGGCGAUCAUGACUAAUUAAACAACCACCUAUUUCUGCUUACCCGCCCAAUAGAUUCCAAGAGACAAGUGCUUGUGUGCCUAUUUCGUCCCGCUCCACAAAUUGAUUUAUGAAUUCAAAAUUCAUAGGGCAUUCGAGCAUAGUGACAAAAACAACCUCGUCUGCCUACUCGCGACCAAAAAUCUCAUGAUCAGGGAUCCAGGCGGCUUCUCUUACUGUCCUUUAGUUGGUCACGGUUUAAAAAUACAAAGUUUUGUUUUUUUAGGUUUUUAUGAAACCGUGUGCCUUGGAUUUAGUCGAGCAUAUCGUGUCUUGAAUUUCAGUAGGCAUCCUUUGUUUAAUGGCAAUAUUUUUUUUAUUUUUGUGAGUAAUUCUAUAAAGAAGAUAGACCCCAUUUUGCUAGUAAUUUAAGAAAUUUUUUUUAAAGCGUUGAUAAAGUAGUUUUAGUAAGAAUGAAAACCACUACGUAGUGAUUAUGUGGGGGUGCUACAACCCUAGCCCUUUUCCCAAACGUGUAUCUUUAAGGACAUUUGAUGAUGAGGGAACACAUGCGUCCCCUAACUCGCACCUUAGACUAAAGGGUAAGAUUUUGAUGAGUCAGUUGACUCUCUAUUUGCUUGUGUACAACUAAAUAAAUUUAUCACUAAAAUAUAGGGCACCCCAAUAGCCUUAGAUGGUAAUAACAUACGGUGUUUUGAAAAAUAAAUUUUGAGAAAAUAAAUAUAAAUAAAAAAUCCCUUCUAAUUUGUAACGUAGUUACCUCAAAAUUAACAAGAUUAUACCAUUUUUUAAAAACCUUAAAUACAGCUUAGAAUUUAAAUUUUAAAACCUAAUCAUUGUUACCUAUAAACAAUACCCUGAAAAUCUAUCAUCUAAAUUUUAACUUUUGAAAGUGGCUUAAAACUUACUCAAAUUUUAAUUUGAAUAUCAGAGCUAUUUUAAGGAAUUCACUUAGGAAAGGCAUUUAUAGAAAUUUAUAUUCGGUGGAAAACAAUAUAACUUCAUUAAGGCCUUGUUUUGUAACUAAGAAAAUAGAAUAUAACUUUCAUUGAGGCCUUGUUUUGUAACUAAGAAAAUAGGAGAAAACGACAUGUUUUCACAGUUACCACAUUUUUUUCAAUUCAAGAAUGGGAAAAUGCAUGGAAAUAAGGCGCCUCACAUUGCUCCGCAUUUCCUCAGGAAGAGAGGGGAAAUAAAAGACCCCCCUCAUCCGCUUUUAUUUUUGCCAUGCUUUAGUGCGAGCUUUUUUCAGUUUUCACAAGUUAUUAAACAAGGGUUCUCGGAGUCCAACCGUGAUGUUUUUUUUCUUGUUUUUGGGUAAUUCAAUGGUUCUUUUUUUUGGAUAAUUUAGUGGGAAAAAUAAACCCCUACCUAUUUUUUUGAAUGGAUUAGUGAGUGACCUUUUUUGAAAGAAUUAGUGGGUGGUGUGAGCAGGAUUGAAAACCACAAUAUGGUAACUACGAAUAGAUUAGUGAGUUACCUCGUUUGAAGGUAUUAAUGGGUGGUGUGAGCAGGAUUGGAAACUACAACAUGAUAACUACGAAUAGAUUAGUGAGUUUAUCUCUUUUGAAGAUAUUAGUGGGUGGUGUGAGCAAGAUUGGAAACCCCAACAUCGUAACUAAGUAUGCGGUGCUACCCCUAUGACGUAAACCCUUUUCCCCGAGUUUUCUACUUUUACCUUCCAUUUUUUUUCAGAGAUUCCCUAAAAAACACAGCUUGCACAGUAACAAAACAGGGUCCAAGAAUAGAUGAGCACACUAAAUAAUAUCACACGUAUCCUUCUUAAAAGUAUACUAUAUCCUUUGAGAUUUAAAUAUCGAAGAAAUCGAGUAUCAUCAAGGGCUUUCCUUUUCUGAGGUUUCCUGAAAUGGAAACACAGAAGAGAAUUCCAAAACCAAAAGACCCGAAUUAAGAGGUUUCCUUUUCUGAGGCUCCCUGAAAUGUAAACUACAAAGAGAAGUCGAAAACCAAAAAGCCUGAAUUAAUUCCUAAAUAUUUGAAGAUGGAUCUCUUAAAUGGACAAUUAAUUUUCUAAAAAACAAACUAUUUCUUUCCUGCCAUUCUGUGGCAGUAUAAAUACCAACGGCCUCUCCUCCAUUUAUGACUAUCACAACCACACAACAAGAUGGCAGGAGUAUGCAGCAGUGACCGUAAGUCUCUCUCUCCCCCUAUCUCUCUCUCUUUCUCUUUCUUUUUCUCUCUAUAUAGAUCUCUAAGAGCAAUGGAUGAAAUAGUGUCAGUAAUGGGGAGAAUCAGAGAUACCCCCUUGACCCUACUUUUUUACGCAUGUCACCCGCCUAUAAUUUGUAAAUCGCACCCAUAAUGCCCAAGUUCUUAUUUUGCAACCGCCACCCAUGUUAUAAAGUAGGAUCUUUUAGGAUGAAAAUACCCCCCAUUUAACCCAUGUUUGCCCAACACGUGCCGAUCCGGCACAAAAAAAUGUGUCCGACCAAUUUUGUAUCUUCUAAAUGCGUUGGUCCCGCAACCUUCUGACAAGGUGUACUGGUCCAACAAAAACUUGUGCGUGACUGAAUUCUAAUAAUUUACUGGUCCGAUACAAAUUGUGCUGGACUGACUUAUAUUGAAAUUGUGCUGGUAUUGUACAAAAUGUGCUAGACGGGCUUCUAUAUUCAAGUUGUGAGGAUCCAAUACAUUUUGUAUGAACCUCCUUAAACGGCGAAAGUAGAGAUUGAAACAUGAGUUAAAAUAAAGUUAUUUUAGUCCAAAAAAGUUAACUCUUUUGCUUGGGGGUAUUGGGAUUAACAGUGUGAUAGAAAAGUUAUUUUAGUCUCAUAGGAUUCACAAAAUGAAGUUAUUUUAGUCUCAUAGGAUAAAUGAAUCCUUGACCUCUUGAAUACAAAAGAUAAUACCAACACCAGCAAUUUCAUGAAUAGAUAUUAAUGUGGCAUACACAAUAUUUGGUUUUUUAAAAAAAAAUAUUUUCCGUCCAUUUAAUUAUUUAACUUAGAUUUUGAUAGGGCCAACUAUCAACCAUUUUAAUGAACAUUAAAAUCAAGAGUAACCAAUUGACAAUGAAAAUAGAAAUAUAAAUUUUACUAUAAUCAAAUAUUAGCUAACUUAGUUUCGUUUUUUGACAAAAUCAUGGAAAAAAAAGUUUUUCAGAGCAUACACCAAGUUAUGCUUUCUUAAAAGACUUUAUACUCAAGAAGGAGCACAUAUUAGAUUCAUUCCCUUUUAUAAAACCCUAUCUCAAAGUAUUCUCAAGGUCCAAGACUCUUUUGGAUCCUUAAGAAAAAAAAACACUUCCUGAGCACUCAGUGUUAGUGGGAAAACAAUAUGCCCUAAGAUGGUAAAUCUAAAGUGUUUAAAAAUUAAAAAUAUUUUCUUUUUUAUGGUCAUUUAUUAGUGCUUCUGACAUCCAAAGAUGGGCAAAAUCCUACUUCGAUGGCCUUACCGUGCCCUCCAGAAGGAGUCCUAGUGUAUACUUUCAUUGUUUUUAAAAACGCGAUCUAGGAAACAGUUUUUCAAAUUAUAUUGCACAUUACAAUUAUUUGUUUUAUAACCUUUCUUAAUUUUCCUUUUAUAUAUAUAUAUAUAUAUAUGGACCAAAUUUAUCUAUGUAAAUUGUUUAAAGUGACCAAAUUUGAAUGGAUAUUGCAGAAAAGACCAGAUGGCCCGAACUGGUUGGAACCAAAAAACAAUUUGCAGUACAUACAAUUGAGAAGGAGAAUCCGAACGUCCAUGCUCAAGUCGUGCCACCGGGAUUCUAUAUUCCUCCAGACAUCCGUUGCUGGAGGGUCUUGGUUUGGAUUAAUGAACAUGACAUCGUAACAAGGAUACCAAUUGUAGGAUAGAUAAGGUUAUCGCUACUUUGUACUGAAUAAAAGAAGACAAGGAAAAAGAAUAAUUGAAUAGGUUCUAUACAUGCAUUUUCAGAAAUGCUUUGUCCUAUGACACUCGUCUCUGUUUUGCUUUAUUUAUGUAAUAACAAUGAUAUAUUGGUUUCUAUCUAAUCCAAUUCAUGAUUGAAUGAAAGUCAGUAGGGAGAUUGCAUUUAAGGGUACUUCUUUUGAGCAUGCAACUCAUAAAUGAUUUAUCUUGAGUGCAUGGUAGCCAUUUCUUCAAUUUGGAUAUUGGAAUUUUGAAAUCUAGGUGUUUAUUUCAUUGAAGACAGUGAGAGCUUCUAGUACGUUCAGGUCUAGUUCAUUCAAAGAAUGAAUUCAGUUUUAGUUAAAUGUUCAAAAUUAAGGAACUCUAUGGUUCAUAUUGAAAGUUGAUCUAAGAAGGGUGAGAACCUUAAAGUUUCUCUAAAUCUAUCCCAAGCCCAAGUGCAGAAAGUGGGUUGUGUUAUGCAGGCAGCCAACAUAAAAUAGAUAGUCGAGAUGAUCAAUUGGAGGGUUGCAUCAAAACAACCUUUUUGAUAGAUUUUUGAAGCGCCCCACGCUUUAAUAGUAUAAGGUUACACCUUAUAUAAGGUUUUUCCUAGUAAAGAAAAUGUUUCGCGUUUCUUGUAAAAAAUUAAUGUUUAGUGCACACAAAACAUCACAAUACUUAUAACGUGAGGUCACUAAAAUAACAUAAAACCUAGCCAAAAAUCAAAUGAAGGGCCUAUAACAUUAACAAAUAUCAUACUUUUUCCCAUCUCAAUUUCUUGUGUGCUCUGUCGUGCCUGAGCAGGUAAAUCUGACUUUUUCGAGCGUGUAAGUGGGGGUUUCACUUAGAGGAAAUAGAUAAGGAUUGACAUCUUCUUGCUCACUUCAAAAUGUCAGUAAUGCGUGCCCGGCAUCAUCUUUAACUAUUCAAACUUCAAAGAGAGUCUUAUGGAACCAUAACACUUUCACACUACCAUCCUAUGAAUGGACGGCUACGAUGGUACUUUUAAUAAGAACCUAAUUAUGCAUGAAGACUUAUGGGCCGUCCAUUAGAGUGUUGAGAUGGUGGUGUAACAGCAUAGCAUUGCACAUGUGUAUACAAAUGCUUUGAAAUGUGAAAAUCGGAGUUUCUUUGAAAAAUAUGAGUUGAAAGUUCAACAUAUAAAGAAGUGGAGCACCUAACCAAAUUAAUAGCAUUGCUCCUUACACGUCUCCAAAGGAUAUAGUUGUAUAAAUAGCAUUGCUCCCUAUACAUCUCCUACUAUCGAUCUCCAAGAGAAGAGAAGAAAAGAUGUCAUCAGAUUCGAUAUGCCCUCCUGGUAAGAUUCUCUCUCUCUAAAUUAGCCCCAGUAAGGUUUCUUUGUAAAUUAGGAUUCUUUUGGUCCCUGUUAGCCUCAGUAAGGUCUUCAAUGUAACAAGCACAUACUCAUGGCCAGUGUUUUGAGACUCUGCCGACCCCUACGAGCGUUUUGUUCUAAACCCCAUUUUUAUAGGUUUUAUAUAAGGAAAUUUGUUUCAUGGGCCGAUUCCUAAGGUCGUAGGGCAAGCCCGAGUCCCUGGCUAUCAAAUUUCACAUCAAAUGAUUGUAAAGAAUUGUUACCCUUUUGUAUCAAUGCUAAAUAGUCUCAUUGUAUAUGAUUCUUUUUAUGGGAAAUUGACUUUUAACGAUUAAAAUCCCAUGGUCGAUGCUGUGAUUUGGUGCUCUUUAUGAACUCCAAAUCCUUUUUCUUUUAAAUUGAUUUUAAAGAUGAAUCAAACAUUACUUGAAAAGUAGAGAGUAAAAGUAGUCUUUUAAAGAUAGUGUUUUGGUUGUGGGGCCAAAUGUGCAAUUUUGUUUCUUGGGACCACCAAACCCUUGUCCUUUAAUGCAUUUCAAAAAGAAAAUGCCUCUCUCUCUUGAUAAACCAAGUCGCGAAUAAAUCAUAUCAUCGUUUGAUUUUUUAUUUUUUUAGCGAUGCAAUUUAUUAUCCUUCAAACCCUCUGGGAAGAUGCAAUCUGAAUUUCUGAGGACUUGAAAAUAUGUUUCUACCCCUAACUAUAAAAGAGAAAUUAUUCAAAAUAUUCAUGUUGGCUAUUUAACAUUGUAUCGUUAUAUUUUGAUUUAAUUCAAAAUGCCCAUAAAAUUACACAUGAUUCCGAGUUGAAUGGUAAAAAAGGGGUAAAAACGUUACAUAGUUGAGGUGUAUUUCAUGUAAGAACAUUCUUUUCUGAUAGACUGUUGAGGUGGGUCUCACUUUUAUAGAGUAAGGGGCCACGUUUAUGUAAAAUUUUUCAAGUUCUUUAUAUUAACUUGAGAUUAUGAUUGAAAUAUUAUGCCAUCUACCGUCCCCCCGUUCCUUUAACAUCCUUUUGAACUGGACUGAUUUAAGUGUAAAUAAAUGGACGUAAUUUGCAGGGAAGAGCUUAUGGCCGGAAUUGGUGGGAACCAACGGUGAGGAUGCCGUGAAGACGAUCGAGAGGGAGAAUCCAACGGUGGAUGCUUCAAUCGUGCCUGAGGGAUCCAUCGUUACCACGGACGUUCGAUGCGAUAGGGUCCGUGUUUGGGUGAAUGAAUAUGGGACUGUCACACGUGUGCCCACUAUAGGCUAGAAGCCGUAAGCGUAUUUAUUAAGUAAUUCUUAGCCUUCGGUUUCCAAGUCACGUGUGUGUUUAUGAAAUGAAGGGGAGUUCCCCAUUUCCCUAUGUAUCUAUCUAUUCUGAUUAUUGGUAAUACAGUCAAUAUAUGGUGACAGUUUAAUGCUUAUUGUGCACAGUAGAGCACUAUUUCUUACAAACUGGAUUUACACGUCUUCACUAUGCACGUGCGUAUCUUCAUGAACACUUUGUUUCGACCAACGGAGAUUCCCACCGUUUUUCUAACAGCCAUGCUUGUGAACCAUUUCAUGUGCAACUUAUAAUAUGGGAAUUGUAUGCAACCAUAUCAUUUACUUUUGAUACAAAAGGUGGUCACUUUGCUUAUAAUUAUUCCACAUCAAAUCUUAUAGCUUGGGUGUAUCUUAAAGUUUUUUUAAAAAAAAAAAAAAAUUGAACUUUAAGUUUGGUCAAUGAAAUAAGUGCAGGCACUCAAAUUCACAUCCCAUCAGGUUUAGAGCUUUCACGCAAAACAUAUUUUUUCAGGUGAGACUACAUUUUGUUUUUAUAAAGCCUAGACCCUAUAGGAACUUCCUCCUACUCUAAUAGGAGGAAAAUACAAACGGUUAAUACACAUUAAUAAUAUGUACGUGCAUUGUACGUGAUAUUGAAUAUUAAUAAAUGAAAUAUUUUAUCAUUGAAAAAAAUUCAAUUUCAAUAAAACAUGGUAUAUUAGAGAGAGAGAGAUAAUUUAAUACAUUUAUCUUCACAAUUGAAUAUUUUAUUAAUUAAUAAUAAAUGUGAUACUAUAUUAUUGAAAUAUAUUAUUAAAAUAUAUAGUCAAAAUACAUAAAGCCAAAGUUAUGAUAGAAACAUAGUUAUUAUUUUAUUUUUUUUCUAUUAUUAAUAUUAGUAUUAAUAUUAUUAUAAAUAUAAAUUAACAAAAAAUAAAAUUAGAAAAAUUAUUAUAUUAUUUUAUUGAAGUAAAAUAAUAAUAAUAAUAAUAAUUUAUUUAUUUAUUUAUUAUUAUUAUUAUUAUUAUUAUUAUUAUUAUUAUAUUUUUUAUCAUAUAAGGUAGGACCCAUUGAUCUUGAAUACUAAAGAAAAAAGAUUAUUUUUCUUUUUUAUUCUUAUGUUAAAUGAUAAAUCGACUUUCUUUCUAUCCCAAUUUUGCCCUUUAAUUUUGUUCCAUAAUAAAGAGUUCAAAAGAGGCAAUAAUACACCUAGAAAAUAAGAGAAAGCUAUUACUAUCAUAAAAACACUAUUGUAAUAUUAAAAUAUUCAUAAAACACUAAAAUAUAACAAAAUGAAGUUAAAAUCAUAAAGGGUUAAAUUGAGAUAGAAACAAAAUUGAUAUAAUCUAACAUAAAAAUCAAGAAGGAAAAAAAAAAUCAUUUCUUCCAUUAGCAUUUAAGAUCCAUGGGCUUUACCUUAUACGAUAAAAAUAAAUUAUAAAAUUAAAAUUAAAAUAUUAUUUCAUAAUAGAUGAAUAAUGCAACUAGAAAAUAGCAAGAGAAAGCUAGAAGAGAAAUAACAUAAAUAAAUAACUCAUAGAAAAUCAAAACAAAAAAUUAUACAAAUAAAAUAUUAUUAUUAAUAAUAAUAUUAAUAAUAAAUAAUAAUAAGUAGUAUUUUAUGAAAGAAGAAGAAAAAUAAGAUAAUUGGCAUAAAAAUAAGGGGAGAGAGAAUAGAAAAUCUUGUAGAUAAGGGAAAAGUAUAAGAGAGAGAAAAUAGUGGGGGGUGGGGAAUGGGGAUAAGAGUAGAGGGGGGAGAGGGGUGUGUUAUUUAUUAGGAAGAGGAAAUAUGGGACAUGUGGCACAAAACAAGGGAAGAUAUUUAAAGAAGGAAAAAGUUUUUGUAAGGUUGCAACUUUAAAAUGUAGAUUCAAAGAUACACAUAAAAAAUAAAUCGAAAAAAAUUGUUUUAAUGUUGCAAAACCCUCUAAUUGAGUCUAAAAAAUAAUGCAUCUUGGAACACAAUAUCUAGUCCGUCCAUUUUCAAGAUUUUCAUAUGUUUAUAUAUCUACUUGAUUUAACAAGUUUUGGAGUUUAAAAUUUUAUAAUUAAAUAUGAAAAUAAAUUUUGAGAUAAUCCUAAAAAACUUUUACACCAAAAUUACAUGUUAUAAGAAAAUUUGGAGAUGCGCCAUACUUGGACUGUUUAAGAUUGCAACCGUAUAGAAACCACACCCUUUAAAGAAAAGCGUAAUGGGGAGAGAGUGAAGAGAGNNNNNNNNNNNNNNNNNNNNNNNNNNNNNNNNNNNNNNNNNNNNNNNNNNNNNNNNNNNNNNNNNNNNNNNNNNNNNNNNNNNNNNNNNNNNNNNNNNNNNNNNNNNNNNNNNNNNNNNNNNNNNNNNNNNNNNNNNNNNNNNNNNNNNNNNNNNNNNNNNNNNNNNNNNNNNNNNNNNNNNNNNNNNNNNNNNNNNNNNNNNNNNNNNNNNNNNNNNNNNNNNNNNNNNNNNNNNNNNNNNNNNNNNNNNNNNNNNNNNNNNNNNNNNNNNNNNNNNNNNNNNNNNNNNNNNNNNNNNNNNNNNNNNNNNNNNNNNNNNNNNNNNNNNNNNNNNNNNNNNNNNNNNNNNNNNNNNNNNNNNNNNNNNNNNNNNNNNNNNNNNNNNNNNNNNNNNNNNNNNNNNNNNNNNNNNNNNNNNNNNNNNNNNNNNNNNNNNNNNNNNNNNNNNNNNNNNNNNNNNNNNNNNNNNNNNNNNNNNNNNNNNNNNNNNNNNNNNNNNNNNNNNNNNNNNNNNNNNNNNNNNNNNNNNNNNNNNNNNNNNNNNNNNNNNNNNNNNNNNNNNNNNNNNNNNNNNNNNNNNNNNNNNNNNNNNNNNNNNNNNNNNNNNNNNNNNNNNNNNNNNNNNNNNNNNNNNNNNNNNNNNNNNNNNNNNNNNNNNNNNNNNNNNNNNNNNNNNNNNNNNNNNNNNNNNNNNNNNNNNNNNNNNNNNNNNNNNNNNNNNNNNNNNNNNNNNNNNNNNNNNNNNNNNNNNNNNNNNNNNNNNNNNNNNNNNNNNNNNNNNNNNNNNNNNNNNNNNNNNNNNNNNNNNNNNNNNNNNNNNNNNNNNNNNNNNNNNNNNNNNNNNNNNNNNNNNNNNNNNNNNNNNNNNNNNNNNNNNNNNNNNNNNNNNNNNNNNNNNNNNNNNNNNNNNNNNNNNNNNNNNNNNNNNNNNNNNNNNNNNNNNNNNNNNNNNNNNNNNNNNNNNNNNNNNNNNNNNNNNNNNNNNNNNNNNNNNNNNNNNNNNNNNNNNNNNNNNNNNNNNNNNNNNNNNNNNNNNNNNNNNNNNNNNNNNNNNNNNNNNNNNNNNNNNNNNNNNNNNNNNNNNNNNNNNNNNNNNNNNNNNNNNNNNNNNNNNNNNNNNNNNNNNNNNNNNNNNNNNNNNNNNNNNNNNNNNNNNNNNNNNNNNNNNNNNNNNNNNNNNNNNNNNNNNNNNNNNNNNNNNNNNNNNNNNNNNNNNNNNNNNNNNNNNNNNNNNNNNNNNNNNNNNNNNNNNNNNNNNNNNNNNNNNNNNNNNNNNNNNNNNNNNNNNNNNNNNNNNNNNNNNNNNNNNNNNNNNNNNNNNNNNNNNNNNNNNNNNNNNNNNNNNNNNNNNNNNNNNNNNNNNNNNNNNNNNNNNNNNNNNNNNNNNNNNNNNNNNNNNNNNNNNNNNNNNNNNNNNNNNNNNNNNNNNNNNNNNNNNNNNNNNNNNNNNNNNNNNNNNNNNNNNNNNNNNNNNNNNNNNNNNNNNNNNNNNNNNNNNNNNNNNNNNNNNNNNNNNNNNNNNNNNNNNNNNNNNNNNNNNNNNNNNNNNNNNNNNNNNNNNNNNNNNNNNNNNNNNNNNNNNNNNNNNNNNNNNNNNNNNNNNNNNNNNNNNNNNNNNNNNNNNNNNNNNNNNNNNNNNNNNNNNNNNNNNNNNNNNNNNNNNNNNNNNUGGCAUCACAGAACCUUCAAAUCGAUCAACUUGGCUUUAAUGAUAAUAUUUGUGGAAACCAUAGGAUUUCAAGCUCUAAAAAUAGUGUAUAUUGUUAUAUGCAAAACUUCUAUUUCUUCCUAAAAAUAAAUAUUAUCGAUCCGCUAGAUUUAUACUAUUUUUUUAGCAUCAAAUUACAUUGCGAUUAUUGAAAAUUCAUUUUAGAGCCAUCAUGGAGAUUUCUAUACCCAAAAUGCUUUCUAUUGGAAGAUUCAAGGUGAGCUUCUACAUUAUUUUCAUAAGGCCUAGGCCUUAUAAAAACUACAUCCUCAACAAUGCGCCAAACUCUACAUCCAACUGAGCUUCACCUCUACCCAUGGAAAGCCAAACUCUACAUCCAACUGAAGGUUCACCUCUACCCAUGGAAAAGCCCACUGACACACCAAGCUCUUGUUUGAAGAUAGACUUUGCGGAAGGCUACUACUGUAUUGAUAAUUUUAUUUUACUUUUCAUAUUUAUAUUUUUUUUUUCCUUAAUCAUGAUCAUCUUAGCCUAGAUCGUGAAUGCCAAAAAAUUUGGAAUAAAAUCCAUCUUUAAGAUUGACUUUAAAGGGGUCCGCAUGUGUACAAUAUGAGUCGGCUGAAUCAUAGAAACCCGUCCUUUUUUAAAUGAACAAAUGUAAUUGGAUGUACCAACUUUGAUCGUCAAUAGAACUUUUUAACAUUGUCAAAAAGAACAGAGAAAAAAAGAAAGCUUUUGUAGGACCCAAAGGCCAAUGAAUUAUGUAGAGAUGAAUUCUUGUGUGACAAAAGAAAUUUAGAAUUUGGGACGUAAUGUUUAAGGAAUAGACUAAUCUUAAUUUUAAAAAAAUAACUUGCACUCUCUAUCUACGUACUUCAAAGAAAAUAAUGUCUUAGUAUUAAAUAGAGACCGUCCAACUUUUGGAGGGUGUGAUCUAAGUGUUAGAAAGUGUGCAAUUCAGAUUUUUUUUUUUCUUUUAAAAAUAGUCAUCUAGUGAUUUUUACGUGGUUUUCAAAAUUUUAGAUAAAAAAAGUCAACUCAAGUAUUCAAUGUUGGGUUUGAUGCUAUCCCAAAUCACCUACAUAAGCAAAUCUCAUAUUAUAUGGGGUUGGGAUGGUACCUCUUGUAGAAAGUUUCUUGAAAGUUUCUUAUGGAGAGAAACAUUGGGAUGAUGACUCUUAUAGACUCCUCAAAAUUGAGAGAACCUGUUUUCUUGUAGAGAAGCAUUGCCAUGAAGAUAUUGGGCGGUUUUCCAUUUUAGUUAGAGAGUCAGUUUUUGGUUGCAUGGAUGGUUUCUUAUAGACAAGUAGUUACAUGAAAAAUUUUGGGUUGUUUUUUGUUUUAGUUAAAGAGAUAAUCAGUUUUUCAUUAUUUGGUUUCAUGUAGAGAAGCACUUUCAUGGAGAUUUUUUGUGGUUUUUCGUUUUAGUUAGAGAUAGUCAGUUUUUCGUUGCUUAUCUAUCUGGUGUUAUAAUGUUUAUCAAAAAUAAAGAGAAAAAAGAGCCAUAUGUGAUGUCGGUCGGGAGAGUAGUUUAAAAGGGUUUGCUCGACUAGGUUUUAUAGACGGUUAAGAGGUAACUCUAUGUUCCAAAAUCUUUAAUGUAAUUUUCAAUUUACCAUACCCAUGAAUGUAGGGAACCACAUAAAAUUCGGGGUUCUUUUUUCUCUUAAUUCUUUCCUGCUUUAUUUUUCUUGCUUGUGUCUUCUAUCGGGUUUAGAGCUUCCGCACACAACAUUCCACCCGAGGGAGUAGGUACACAUUUUGCUCCCUCGAGAACAUACUAUAAUUCUAAUAGUUUAUUUCUUGAAGAAAGAUAGGUUGCUUGUUUUGGAAGGAUUAUCAGAACUCAAUCCCAUAUUGAACGCCUUAAGACUUGAUCAAAUUAUUAAAAGAUAAUUUCCCAAGAGGCAUCCCUAUGCUUUGAAUGAUUUGUUUUUAAUCUCCUGUAACAAGAAUAUACCUUGAGAAGUCAGAUGGGUGGUGAGAUUGAGAUAAGGCCAUAUUCUUCAACUUCAAAGCAAUUUUUUAAUAAGAGUGAUAAGAUCAUAUGUAGGUUGGAAACGUUAUUUUUCAUGUUCCGUAAUGACGAAGGACCACCCAACGAUUAUUCAAAUAUGAGGGCAGUAGUUAAAGACGUGCAGGCCAAAGUAUAAACCGCAGAGCAAUGCCUUUAUAAAUCUCUGAACCAUUUGCUUCCUGCAUCACAAGGAUUGAGGGAGAGAAAGAGGAGAUCCAGUGAUAUAUUGACAUGGCAGAGUGCAAAGGUAAGGACUCCAUUGUUAUGGCAACUUGCAUGAGAGAGAGAGAGGACCAUCUUGUGAAACACAAGAGAGAGAGAGGACCCCAUCUUGUAAAAAACAAGAUAGAGAGAGAGGACCAUGCUUCAGUUCCCUCUUGCACGUAUGCUGCAAGCCUGCACAAGUGCAGGAUUGCAUAACUAUCAUUUUCCUUUUCAUUUGAUCUUCUUCAUUGUUGACUGCACGUCUAUGUGGUCCAAAGGGACUAAAAUAUAAGAUGGGUCUCCAGAAGAAAAACACGGAUUUCUUUGUUGCUAAAAGUUUCCAAACCCCUUUUGUUUUUUGUUCUCUACCAAAGUCUGCCAUCCACGUGUUGAAGGGCGUUCAGGCCUUUUUUCAAGGCCCCAAUCAAACAAGGGCACAUUACGUUGACAUAAAAAAAAAUUAUAUUUUAUUUUUAAAAUAUUAUUUUUAAGAUAAAAUAUCUUUAUAUCUUUUAUUUUUAAGUUUUAUAUAUCGAAAGACCCAAAAUUUGAAAAUGGAUCAUAAAAAUUUUAAGUUUUAUAUUUUUUAACUCUUUAAGCUAACUUUAUUCUCUUUAAACCUAUUUUUUAACUCCAAACAAAUAUAAAAAAGACAUCAUUUCUAAACACCAUCAUUUCUCUCUUUUCAUGUAAUUCUUUCUUAAAUCUCUUUACCUAUUUUUCCACUCUCUCCCAUGUCUCUCACUCUCUCUCCCCUAUUAGAGAGACAAAGAGAGUGAAUGUUAGAGAGAGAGAAAAUUUUGAGGGGAAUAUAUCACAAAAAGAGAUGAAGGGGUUACAAUGAGCAUGUUUUUUUUAAUAUUUAUUAUGACUAAAAAAAUAGUUAAAAGUUGAAAAAGUUAGUCCAAAGACUAGGAGAUAUAUUUUAAAUCUUUGGAUCUAUUGAUAAAUAAAAAUAAAAAAUAGAUGAUACGAUGAUAUUUCCCCCUAUUUUUAAUUUUUAUUUAAAAUCAUGCCGUUAUCCAAACGAUUUAAAGUCGGUUUUACAAGAUUUUUGAAUUGUAAUUCAAAAAUAUUCCAAUUUUGAAUACAUCUAAACCAGCACUAAAGUUUCCAAAUCUUUUUUCUUUUUUUUUUUCUCUCUCCCAAAAUCUCCCAUCCACAAGGGUGUUCAGCCUUUUUUUCAAGGGCCCCAAUCAAACAAGGGCACAUUCAAUGGCCCAAUCAAACAGGUUUUUUUUUAAUUUUUUAACUACAAAGUACUAAUCUAUCAAAUUGACCUCAAGAUGAUUUAAAGAUGAGUUGAGAGUUUUUGGAGUCCAGAAGAAAAAAAAAAAAAAAGAAGUUUAUUUUAUCAUUUGCUUGUUCAACAUGACAAACUACAACUAUGAAAUGAAGUGGCCGUCUUUCCGAAUGAGCCAAAACACAUAUAAAUCAGAACAAAACUUAGCUUUAUGUAUGUGAUUUUGUAUAGUAACUUAGGUGCACGUAAAUGGACUUAAUCUGCAGGGAAGAGGUCAUGGCCGGAGUUGGUGGGAAGCAACGGUCAGGAUGCAGCGACGACUAUCGAGGAGGAGAAUUGUUCUGUGAAAGCCAUAGUCGUGACCGAAGGCACCAUCGUUGAUCACUUAUUUCGGUGUGACAGGGUUCGGGUUUGGGUAGAUGAAUGAGGUUGUGACACGUGUGCCCUCUAUAGGCUAAGAAACUAAUAAAGAUGGUGAUAUGUGUGUAUGAAAUAAGAGCUUACCAUUUGCAUAUAUGUGUGUCUAUGCAAAUAAUGGUGAACAUUGUCAAUAUAUGGUGACUAUUUAAUGCUUAUUGUGAACCAUGGACCACCGUGUCUUACGAAUUGGAUUUACAUCUGCCAUUACAACGCAUGUGCAUGUGCUUACGAAAUAGGACAGGACACUGAACGGCCACGGGUUCAAUUGAAUUAAAAGUUGGUCUGAUUACUUAAAUUUUGAAUUAAAGUUGGUCUGAUUUCUUAUAAUUUUUUUAAAAAAUAAAAAAUUAGGCUUCAAUGUCUUUACAAAUAGAUGCACAAUUCGUAAGAGAGGACUUAACAUAGGGGGUUAGUGAAAUACUAGCGCUCAUGAGGUAAGGGUAUAUUUUCCGCCAAUAUGUCAAAAGGGCACUUGAUGACCUCAUUCGUAAGCAAUUUUGUAGAAAAAUUACCAAUAUCUUAUAAGGCAUUUUGGGCGAAAUAGUACGUAGCGUUCAAACAUUCAAAAGUAUCUUGUGUGCAAUGUAACAUUACUAGAAGGAAAAAGUUUAUGUAAGGUUACAAUCUUAUACUAUAGAAGUAAAGUGCAUCCUAAAAAUCUAGUAGAAAAGAGUAUUCCAAAGUUAGAAAACCUUUCAAUUCAUAAUAUCGACCUCGAGAAAAAUUCAAUUCUUGAAAAUAGUGCAGCUUAUAAUAAAUUAUUUGGACCAUCUGUUUUCAAGAUUUUCAAGUGUUUAUAUGUAUGUUCGAUUUACACAAUUUUUAGAAUUUAAAAUUUACAAUUAAGGUUAAAUUUCUGACACCGGACCUAUGUCUUCAAGCAAAAUUUAGAGGUGUGACUUACUUGUAUAAAGUGGGCUAUACAAAUAUCACCCUUAGUAGAAUAUGCUAUCUAAAGAUACCAAUAUGAUUUAGUGAAAUAUUAUCCAAAUAUCUCAUGAGAUAAUAUACAAUGAGACUAUUUAUCUUUGGUACACGGAGGUCACAAUCAUUCUUAGCUAUUGAAUGUGAUAUUUAAUAGAUUGAAGUUUGUCAGAACAGUCAAAAAGUUUUAUUUUGGAUAUUGAAUGUGAUAUUUAAUCAAGGGUGUGGUUUCUACAAGGUUCAAACCUUAAACAAUCCAAUUACAGCACGACUCCAAAUUUUAUCAUGAAAUGUAAUUUUGGUGUAAAACAUUAUUAAGAUUAUCUCAAAAUAUAUUUUCAUAUCUAAUUAUAAAAUUUUAAAUUCCAAAAAUAAUUAAAAUCAGAUAGAUCUAUAAAUAUAUAAAAAUCUUGAAAAUGGACGAUCUAGAUAAUGUAUUGCAAGAUGCACUAUUUCUAGGACUCAAAUUCUUUUUUUCCCCCAUAUUCAUACAUAUUGAUGUCGAGAUGAUCAAUUAGAGGAUAUUUCAAUAUGAAAAUAACCUUUUUUCGAUUGAUUAUUUAGGUACAUCUUUAAUUCUACAUUUUAAGGUUGCAACCUUAUACAAACUUUUUCCGUUAACCAAAUCAAUUUUUUGAAAUGGUUGAGCGUGCAUUUGCGUAGUGUAAUUUAACAAAUUCCACAUUCACAAACAACCCACAUACCUUGAGUUGUAUUCAGAUUUUUUAUUCCAAACGGGACAUCAAAUUGUUGUCUCGGGUCGGGUCUUCCUCCGAAAUUGCCCUAAUCAAGUCUAGGAAAUCAACUCAAGAAUAGAUUCCAUUCGUUUGUUCAAUUAAUUUGAUCAUACUACCAAGAAUUACAACAAUUCAAUUGACAUUAUAAAUACCAUCUCAAAUGUGAACCUUCAAGCUCUAUCGCGACUAUUGGAGGGAGAGAUUUAAGUGUUAAAAAAUGUGCAAUUCCAAUUUUUUUUUCUUCUAAAAAUAGUCAUCUAGUGAUUCUUAGGUUGUUCCUAAAAUUUCAAAUAAAGAAAAAUCAUCCCAAAUAAGUCUUCCACCCGAGGGAGUAGGUGCACAUUUUGCUGCCACGGUAGCAUGGUAUACAUGCUCAUAAUUUAUUUCUUGCCGAGGGAGUAGGUGCACAUUUUGCUGCCACGGAGCAUAGUAUACCUGCUCAUAGUUUAUUUCUUGAAGAAAGAUAUGUUGCUCGUUUUGGGAGGAUUAUGAGCACUUAAUCCCAUUAAUACUUGUUCAAAUUCGCCAAAGAUAAUCUCCCAUGAGGCAUCACUAUGCUUUGAAUGGUUUGUUAACUUGUUUGUAUUCUUCUACAAGAAUAUGCCUUGAGAUUCAAAGAGGCAAAUUUUUUAAUAAUGAGUGAUAAGAUCAAAUGCGGGUUGGAAAUGUUAUCUUUUCACGUUCCGUAGUGAAGAAGGACCACUCAAUGAGUAUUCAAAUAUUGAGGGCUGUAGUUAAAGAGGUGCAGCUCAUACUGUAGCGUAGUUAAAGACGUGCGGCCCAUACUACAUACCACAGAGCAAUGCCUUAAUAAAUCUAUGUAGCAUUAUUUGUAAAAUCUAUAUCAUCCAACAAAAAUAAAUGUUAUUGAACAUAACCAACUUACUUGUACACGUAAGGAUGCCAACCAUUCUUUUUGUUUACUAUCUAACCCAAACCAAGAAAACUAAUCGUUACGCUGUUGAUUUAACCGCUUUAUGCCAGAUCCAAACAAACUUUUACGAGGGAAAACUCGGACAAUAUCAUAAAAACCAUGGUUCUAAACUCCCUAAGCCAACACGAGAUCUCAUGUCGUGCACCGUGGAGGGUUCUCUUGUGAACUUGAGUGAGUAUUUGCCUCCUGCAUCACAAGGAUUUAGAAAAAGAAAGAGGAGAUUGAGCAUAUUGACAUGUCAGGUAAAAGGAUUCCAUUAUCAUUGCAACGUGCAUGAGCGAGAGAGAGAGAGGAACAUCUUGUGAAAAACAAGAGACAGAGAGAGAUGACCAUGCUUCCGUUGCCUGCACAGUGCAUAAAUAUCAUUUUCCUUUUCAUUUUACCUUCUUCAUUGUUUACAGGAGACCUCUAUGGUAGUCCAAAGGGACCAACAUGUAAUAUGGUUCUGCUGAAAAAAAAGGGAGUUCUUUGACGUGAAACUUUCCAAAUCGUUUUUAUGUUAUCUGCCAAAGUCUUCCAGCGAUGUGUGAAGGGCGUACACGCGUUUUUCUCAAGGGCUCAAAUUAAACAAGGACGCAUCCAAUGGCCACAAAAGAGAUUUGUAUAUAUAUAUUUUUUAAUUUUUGUUUAAGAUGGUACUUAUCUAAAGAAUAGGUAAUAAAUGGUGAAUCAAAUAAAAAUAAUAAAUAUAUUUUUUUUGUACCAAAAUAUCUUUAAAUUGUUUGCGAAGCAUUUUGGUCAACUUUUCGUUGAAAAUAUUUUUUAUUUUCCUAUUUUACAUUUCUAUAUAAAAACAAAAUUAUACUUUUUUUAGAUAACUAUUUUUAAAUUAAAAAUAAAAAUAACAUUUGAAAUUCUUUUUGAGCCAUGAAAAAAAAAUACUAUGUUCAAUCUGAACUAUGGAAGAGUGUUUAUGCAUGAUUCAAUGGUCCACAUCAUGUGAGACUCUAUACUAUCCGUUGUUCUUUUGGUAGUCCCGUAAAAAUUGAGUUUGUUUAGCCAUCAAAUAGAAGGUCGCGUGUGUAACUCGGAUUUUUUUUUAUUUUUUAUGUAGUUCCGAUGUAGUUAUUUUUCAAAUUGACCUCAAAGAAGAUUUAAAGAUGAGUCCAGAGCUAAAUUAGCCAGGGGUGUACUACUAGUGGUGUUCAAAAAAUAUUAAAAAAAAAUCCAAACCGAAACAUGACAUGUUUUAUUUUUUGAAUUUUUUUGAAUUUUACAUUUAACCGCUAAAGAUGAUUCAGAUUCUUCUUAUGCUGAUGAUAAAUGGGAAGGAGUCAGAGAGAAAAAUAACACAAUUACAAAAAAGAGGGUAAGGUUAGAGAGAGGAGUUUGAGAUGGAAAAGACAUGACAAGAAAGAAGAGGGUUUGGAAAGAGAAAAGUCAUGGUUAGAGACAAAGAAAUUAAAAAAAGUUAGGGAGAUGGUGAGAAAGGACCUGGGAUGCAAAAAUGAAGGCAAAAGAAUACUUGAGAUAUAAGAUAUCAGAACAUGUCUGGGGAAUAGAAGUUGCAGCUUUUUUUUUUUUUCUUUUUGUUUGAAUAAUUUACGUACAGACAAUAAAAUUAUAAAUAAAAUACAAAAUGCUCUAUUUAUAUGCCGAAUUUACAAAAGAAAGUCAGUCAACCUUUUUUUUUAUUUUUCUACAAAAUUACCUUUCAACCAAUCCAAAUUUUAAUUAUUUUUUAUUCAAGUAAUUUUUUUUUUUUUCAUUACUAUGACAAUGCCUCAUGCUUUAAGGCACCACCCUCAAGCUUUAAGGCAUCAAAAUUGCCUCAAUGUUUUCAUUAGUUUUUCAUUUGUAAUUCUACAUUUUAAGGCUGCAACCUUAUAUAAAUUUUUUCUCAUUUUUAAAAGUUCUUGCAACCUUAUAUAAACUUUUUCCCAUUUUUAAAAGUUCUUCAAAAGUGGAGCAUAUUUUAAGCGAUUUUUUAACUUUUUAAUUUUUUUAAAAUUGGUAACACGUAUCCCAACUAAAGUUUAGGCUUUUAAUUUGACUUUACAUAUUAAAAAACUAUUAACGAUUUUAAAAAACGGUUUAGGCUUUUAUUCUCACUUUACACGUUCAAAAACUACUAACAAUUUAAAAAAACGGGUAGGGACCAUUAUCCCAACCGAAUUACCUAAAAAAAAUAAAAAUAAUUGGUGUAUAUAGAUGCGUUUGUGCUGUUUCAUUUGUUAUUUUUCUCUUUCUUGAAAGCUAACUUGGACUUUGUUUUUCUCCUCCUUCUCUCCCUGUGAUUGACUCUUUCUAAAUCAUUUCGAAAUUUUGUUGAUUUUACACUAUUUUAUUGAUCCCUGCGAGACUAUUUUUUUUUUUUCUCACUGUUUGACCCCUCUUGAAUUCAUAGCGAAAUAGAACAUGUUAGAGAAGUGAAAAUAUGUGAAGAAAAAGUAGGAAGUCAUUUAACAUACCACUUAUUAAUCUCAAAUAACAUUACAGAGAAAUUUGGACAGAAACAACGGUGCUCGAAUCUUUCUAUAAUGCGUAUAAUGUGCACGGCUCCGAAUUAUUACAAUAAAUAAACCUAGCAUCCACUUGUUUUAGAGGACUAAUAAUGAGAGGGGAGACGGAGACAGAGAGAGAGAAAGGAUUUUGGACCAAACAUCCAUUUAUUUUAGUGAGAGAAAGAGGCACAUAUUUUAGUGAAUGAAAGAGGGAGAAGGAGAGACGUACAGAGUGAUAAGGAGACACAGGCGACCUAGAGAGAGAGAGAGAGAGAGAGAGAGCCAAAAUCCAGUUACUUUGAGGACGGAGGUGAUGAUAUAAUUGAACUAUCCAAUGACAGGGGUUUGCCUCACGUUGCCAUACUCAUCAACCCAAACCACCACCCUAUCGCACUUAAAAAGUGUAGCGAUGGCCCUAUCUGAGGGCACAAUCGACGUGCGCACCUCUGGAUUUUCUCUUCUGAUAAUCGCCGCUGCAUCUACACCGUUCAUUCCAACCAAUUCAGGCCACGAUCUCUUCCCUGUCACAUUCAUCCAAAUCACGUUCCAAUAAACACAUAAUCCCAUUUU